UGAAAUUUGAUUUAAAGAACCUUGAUAUUUAGUUGUAAAUCAGAAAAAUAGAAAUUAAUACAUAAAAUCUUUUUUUCUUUAUGUAUCUUUUUAUAUCGAAAUCAUUUUUUCUUAAUUUUUUUUUUUUUUUAAUUAGAAAAGUUGAGAUAUACCUGUAAUAUUAAGUAUCUGAAGGUUGAGGCGACUCAGUCCGUGGUCGUUUCUGAAGUUUGCUACACGUAAAUAGAAAACAAACCCAUUCAGUUCUGUAAGUUGCAGACAGGUAAUAAUAAGUAUAUAUGUGGUCGAGAAGCAACAUGAGCUCAGUAGUUAUAAAAUAAAACAAUGCCAAUGGAAACUCGCAUAUCAAAUCAGUAAUAUACCUCAGGUUAUAAAUGUAGUAAUGCUGAUGGGUUUGAUAAUUGUGGGGAAGUCCUCUUGAUCCAAAUCUUCAUGAUAAUAGAGAACAACAUCAAUGACCUGCAAAGACACUAAUAACCAAAAUCAAAAGCAAGAGAACAACAACAACAGAGAAGUAGAAACUAGUAGCUCACCUAUGAGAUUCAGUUCUUUAAGUUGCAGACAGGUAAUAAUAAGUUUAUAUGUGAUCGAGAAGCAACAUGAGCUCAGUAGUAAUAAAAUAAAACAAUGCCAAUGGAAACUCGCAAAUCAAAACAGUAUACCUCAGGUUAUGAAUGUAGUAAUGCUGAUGCUACAUGAUCCUUCUUCUUUUUGAUAAUUGUGAGGAAGUCCUCUUGAUCAAAUCUUCAUGAACUAUAGAGAACAUCAAUGACCUGCAAAGAAGAGAACAACAACAGAGAACAACAUCAAAGACCUGCAAAGACAAAAUCAAAAACAAGAGAACAAACAACAGAGAAGUAACCAAGAACAAACAUACCUCCUCCAAUCAAAAGGUCUGAAACUUCCUUGUCUGCAGAUCCAAAAUCGUAUAUGCAUAUAUACACACACCAAUGAGAUUCAGUUCUGUAUGUUGCAAACAGGUAAUAUCAAUUCUUUAUGUGGUCGAGAAGCAACAUGAGCUAUCAAAUAAAACAGAUGCCAAACUCGCAAAUCAGAUCAGUAUACCUCAGGUUAUAAAUGUAGUAAUGCUGAUGGUACAUGAUCCUUCUCCUUUUUGAUAAUUGUGAGGAAGUCCUCUUGAUCAAAUCUUCAUGAUAAUAGAUAAGAACAUCAAUGACAAAGACAAUGUAUAUAUACUAAUAACCAAAAUCAAAAACAAGAGAACAACAACAACAGAGAAGUAGAAACUAAUAGCUCACCAAGAACAAGCAUACCUCCUCCUAUCAAAAGGCCUGAAAAACCAUAUAAGAAUCUUAAGACCAACAUUGGCUUCCAUCAAUACGCUUAUGAUAUAUAUAAAGGAGACAGAGAGAAGCAAAUACGUGAAUCUUAAGACCAACAUUGGCUUCCAUCAAUACGCUUAUGAUAUAUAUAAAGGAGACAGAGAGAAGCAAAUACGUGAAUCUUAAGACCAACAUUGGCUUCCAUCAAUACGCUUAUGAGAUUGUAAUUCCAAACAAACUGUAUCAAUCAUAUACUCUUAUGAGACUGUAUUUCCAAACAAACUGGACGCAAAUCAAAUCAAAUCAAUUGUAAUUCCAAAAGGCCAACAUGAUUGAUGAACUAAAUAGUAUCACAAAUUGGCUUGCAUCAAUCGUAUACUCUUAUGAGAUUCAGUUCUGUAUGUAGCAGACAUAAAAGUUCUCAACUUCUAAGACACAAGACAUAAAAACCAGACCAUAUGCAGACAGAGGAACAAGAAGAGAUAGAGCGGUACCUUGAAGGGAAAAGAGGAAGCAAGAGCACCACCAUGAGGACGAAGCAGAGGUUAGAUAGAUCCAAAAACGAACCAGAAGAAGAGAGAUCAAAAGCCUCGAUCAUCACCACCACGUCUCAAGCCUCAGCACCCUAUGAUCAUCAAACUAAAUUGUAUAAAUAAUAAAUAAUAAGAGAUUCCUGUUUUUGUAUUUUACAAUAUUGAGUAACACAACAUGGUGGAAGCAAGAGCACCACGUCUCAUGAGGACGAAGCAGAGGUAGAUAGAUCCCAAAAGCCUCGAUCAUCACAACCACGUCUCAAGCCUCAGCAUUCUAUGAUCGCCACCACGUCUCAAGCCUCAGCACCCUAUGAUCGCCGUGUUGCAUAUCUCGAUCAUCAACGAGAGGAAAGCUAUAAAGUUUGAAGCUUUUUCACCGAAGAUGAAUCAGAGAAUCGAAGGAGAAGAGGGAACGAACUUAAGAGAUUGAUUUGUAGGGUUUAGAAAGAAGAAGAAGAAAGAACGGAGAAGAAGAAGUGAGAAACAGAGAAUUUUGAUUUCUCGAUCUCGGUUUGAGUUGAGAGAAUUAAAGAGUUAAUUUUUAAUAUUUAUAAGCGAAAUUAAUUAAGAGGUUAAUUAAAAGAAAAGGAAAUUGACAACGGUUAUAUUAAUAGGAGUGUAAGGAAAUCAAUACCGAGAUUUUGUUUCUGUUAAAUUUUCUUCAUCAUAACGGUAACAAUUUAAUUUCAAUAUGUAAAACGUUUUGAACCUUUUUAAUUUUAAAAGAGAAUUUGGCAAAAAAUAUAUUUUUUUAAACCGUUAGUUAUGUUAUUAACUAAUUGAACUAUUUUAUUGACCUAUUCUUGAGGAGCUAUUUUACUAAUUGUAAAUUAUCAGACCAAGUUUUAUAUAAUAAGUUUCUCCAUUACAUUAGGCAUGACAACGGCUACGGUUUGUUGACCAUCAAUUACGGUUAUAAAUUUUCUUUAACCAUAACUUUAACCUUUAUAUAUACGGUUAAAACGGUUACGGUUAUAUACGGUUAUAGUUAAAUCCGGUUACGGUUAAAUACGUUUACGGUUAUUUGAUGAUUAUAAUAUAGAUAAUCAUAUAUAUAAAAGUAAGGUUUCACUCUCUACUUAUUGGUGGAAAAAUAUUUAAGGCUUAAUUUUUUUUUUUUAAAUAAAUAAAGAAAUGUUUAUGACAAUCAUUCAAUAAAAAAUUUAAUUACACUAUAAGUUAUAAUCAAAUGGCAAAGAAGAUAAAAGAACUUAAUCAUAUAUCAUUCAACAAAAUAAAUAAAUGUUUAUGAUAAUCAUUCAAUAGAAAAUUUAAUUACAGUAUAAGUUAUAAUCAAAUGGCAAAGAAAAUAAAAGGACUUAAUCAUAUAUCAUUCAACAAAAUAAAUAAAUAAAUAAAUGUUUAUGACAAUCAUUCAAUACAAAAUUUAAGUACACUAUAAGUUAUAAUCAAAUGGCAAAGAAAAUGAAAGUACUUAAUCAUAUAUCAUACAACAAAUUUUAUAAGGCUUAUUGGUGGAAAAUUAUUUAAAAUCAUAUAUAUAAAAGUAAGGUUUCACUCUCUUUAUUGUUCCAUUUUGUAUUUAUUUUUAAAAUAUAAUAUUUAUUUUUAAUUAAACCAAAAAAACAUAUUUAAUCAUAUACAUUAAUCCAUACUUUAGAUUCACACUUUACUACUAAAAUUAAACUGAAAAUUAUAUAAAUUUCCAAAGACUAUUGGUUUUCUUUAUUGAAUUCCAAUUAAACACACUAUAAAUUAUAAUUAUAACUCCUCUAAUUAAAUUAUUUUAAAAAUUUAACUUACAUCACUUCUUAUCAUAUAAAUAGUCAUUCUCACAUCCUUCUCUACCAUAUCUCAUAUCUUCAUUAUUCUCUUUGUUUUUUUUUUAAAAGUUCUUGCAUGGGGUGAAAACUCAUUUAAAAUAUCAUUGUAAGAGUUUGAUUAAUUAUUUAGUUUAAACUUUUGUUUUCAAUUUUAUUUAUUUUUUGUUUUUAUGUAUUUCUUUAUGUCUUCAUUUUUUUAUAUUUUUAAAUGUAAUACAUAUGUAUAAUAAUAUUUUAUGCUUUUUUUUUUCGUCAAACAAAUAAUUAUAUUUGAUAAUUGUGAAAAUCAUAAUACAAAUGUUCUGAAAGCCAUGGAGGCGGGUUCAAAAAAUCAGAAUAAAAAGGAACCAUAUUACAACCAUAAGAAGCAAGCACAUGAGCCACUUUGUUACAAUGUCUAUUACAAAAUUCAAAAGAAAUAUUGGAGAACUUAGUAGCCCACACAAUAAUAUUUUAUGCUUAUAAGAAAAUCAAACUAAAGAAACCAUCUUCAUUAUUUUACAUUGGAUGUUUGUUUCUUUCUCACAUAUUCAUGUAUAUUUAUUUUAAUUUCAAAAGUAUGUAAUUUUUUAACAAAAUAAACUUUUUGUUAUAUAAUUAUCAAACCAAUUUGUAAGACAUUCUUUUAAGAAUAAUGAUCCUUAUAUUUAGUUUGUGAUUCAACAUGUAAUAAUAUAAACAACAUAAUAAUUUUUGUUAACUUUGAAUUUUAUACUUGAUUUCCUAUAUAAAAAAAAAUUUCAUAUUCAAUUUUCUAUCUAUUAUAUAUACUACGACGAUGAAAAAUAUAAUUAAACCUAGAGAUAUAGCUUAAAUUAAGAGGAAUAUAAAAACAAAUUAAAAAUAAAAUUAUUCUUUGGGAAUUUUUUAAGGUUUCUCCNNNNNNNNNNNNNNNNNNNNNNNNNNNNNNNNNNNNNNNNNNNNNNNNNNNNNNNNNNNNNNNNNNNNNNNNNNNNNNNNNNNNNNNNNNNNNNNNNNNNUAUUUUUAAUUAAACCAAAUAUCUAACACAUUUAGUCAUAUACUUUAAUUCAUACUUGAAAUCCACGCUUUACUAUUAAAUUGUAACUUAAAUUAUAUAAUCUUUCAAUUGACUAUUUGUUUCCUCCAUUCAAUUUCAGUUAACACACUAUAAAAUAUAAUUAUAACUCCUCUAAUUUAAUUAUUUUAGAAUUAUAACUUACAUCAUAUUUUAUCCUAUAAAUAUUCAUUGUUACAUCCUCGUCCACCAUAUCUGAUAUUCUCAAUAUUUCUUUAUUUAAUUUAUAAUGUUCUUGCAUGGGUUGAAAGCUCAAUUAAGAUAUCAUUGUAAGAGCUUGAUUAUAUAUUUGGUUAAAACUUUUGUUUUCAAUUAUAUUUCUUCUUUAUUUUAUGUACUUCUUCAUUUUUUCAUUGUUUUAUACUAUUAAAUAUAUAAUACAUAUGUAUAAUAAUAUUUUAUGGCUAUAAGGAAAUUACUUUAUCGAUGGGAUUCAAAACUAUUGAUUUCUGACCAUCGCACCAUAAGAAAAUCAAGCUAAAUAAACCAUCUUCAUUGUUUUACUUUAUAUGUUUUUUUCUUUCUCACAAAUUCAUGUAUAUUUAUUUUAUUUUCAAAGUAUGUAAUUAUUUUAACAAAAUAAUUUUUGGUUAUAUUCAAACCAAUUUGUAAGACAUUGAAAUAAAGAAAAAUUUUAUACACAAAUAAAGGUAAUUUGUGUGUAUAUUUAUAAGUUUACACACAUAUAUGGAUAAAUUUUAACAUUUUUAGUGGUUGUUUUGAUAAAGUUUGAAAAGGGGGUAAAUUUAAAAAGUGGUAUUUUUAAAAGGGUAUUUUCUAAAUUCUCCCAAAAUCAUUCCUAUUUUUAUCAUUAACAAUAUUAUUGUUUUAUCAAAAAAUACUUAAAAGCACAAAAAAAAUUACUAUCAAAAUUGAACAAUUAAUCAACGAAUAAAUUCAAAAGAUAUGGAUGUAUGCUUCUAUUGUAUGAUUUAAAUAAAUAAAAUGUAAAAAUGUCAUAAACAUUAAAAUUUAUUUAAUCUAUUUUUAUAAGUAAUAAAUAAAUUAAAAUAAUUAAAUAAAUAUACAACAACCCGCGCAUAUGCGCGGGAAAUUACCUAGUAUAUAUAAACAAAGUUUUAUAUUUUCUUACCAUAUCAAAUAAUGUUUAUUUUCAAUAUGAAAUAAAGGUAUUUAUAUGAUUCAAAUAUUUAUAGUAAAUUAGUUAAAAAUUAUUUUUAAUUAAUUAAAAACAACUACAAUUAAAUAAAUUAAUGGUUAUGAACCUAAAAUUAUUUAAAAUAAAUUAUUUUUGAUUUGAAUAAUGAAAAUGAGCAGUAGAGUGAAUUAGAAUUACUAGUUGACACAUUAAACCAUUUAAAACAUUAUUUUAAUGAAAUAAUUUUUAUUAAAGGUUAACCAUAUGGUUAUGGUUGAUAACGGUUACUUUUUAUAACCAUGACUAAUUUAUUUUUACGGUUAACGGUUACAAAUUUUAACUGUUUUAUACGGUUACGGUUUAAAAAUAGUUCAGUUACGGGUAAAUUACGGUUAAUAUUAGAUUUUGGUCAUGCCUACAUUAAACUUAAAGUAAUGGAACGAUAAUAUUGUGGCUUUGUAAACUUAUUUUUCAUAUUUUAUACCGAAUUAAAGUAUCAAGACCGACAUAUAAAUUAUACAAAGAUUGGCGAAUGGCACAGAGUUAUUAGCAUACCGGAUUUACUGAUAUUUGUAAGUUUUUAUUUAAUCUAAUUAUUUAAUUCGAUUUAUUAUUUGAUAUUUGUAAUUUUUAAUUUAUAUAAAUAUUCAAGUUUUUGUAAAAAAUAAUAAAAUUUUAAUUAUUAAAAAACUUAUUUUACCAAAAUCAUCGAGAAUUUAUGGACAAGAAAAACAAAGCAAAACUCGUAAUCGCUCAUAAUUAAUUGUCGGCUUCAUCGUCCUUUUGCUUCUUCUUCCACCAAAAUUAACUUUUUCCAGUAACGAAGCUAAAUUAAAAUUCGUUAUUAGGGUUCUGCUCCUACUACGCCGUAAUUUUGAUUCCUUUAGUUUUUUGAUUUCAGGGUCGAUAUGGAGAUUGAGAGAAACGUUUCAGUCCCUGGUAAGAAGAAUCUAGUUAAAGUCGAGUUCAAGCUUGGGACAGAGAGCUACAUCAUUGAUUCAUCAAACAAGGGUGAUACUGUAUUGGACCAAUUGGUUUCGAUGAAAGUUGAAAGUAUGAAGAUACUUAAAGAUUUUAUCACAAAGCAUAAUGUUCCAGAUGAUGAUGAUGUCCCCGACCAAAUCUUGUCUGAUGAUGAAGAAGGUGAUGAUGUUGCUUCUCCUGUAAUAUGUCCUGUGAAACCUAAGAAGACAAAGAUUUGAGUUCGUUUUUAGUUAUCACUACUGUCUUGUUAGCUGGUGAUUUGAUCUUGAACCUUUGUCAAAUUUUGUUAACAGUUUUGGGGUUUUCUAGAGAGAAUUAUGAGGUUUUGGAUCUUGCUAGUUGGAAUUUAGAAAUGGUGUUACUGAGUUUAUUACUGGAGAUAGGUGAUUGCAUUGCUUGAGAAGAGCAAAUCCAUUGAAUGAUGCAGUUUCUUAUCUCUGACGGAUAUAGUUGAGUUAUUCAAUAGCUCUACAUGGAACUUCAUCGAGACUCUUAGAACACUAAAGGGAAAUGCUUGACUCGUAUUAUGGUAUUAGGGGUAUUGGACAAGAAACGUAGAUGAUACAUAUUUCCUGUGAGUCUUGUGUUUAGAUAUUGUUUAGUGUUGUGUUCAAUUGAGUGGUAGACUUUGAACCUCUGUUAAUUUUGCUGUUUGUGCAACAGUUUUGUUUGUCUAAGAAGAAUAUGAUAACUUGGGUAAAACUAUGGAAAUGGGGUUUCUAAAUUCUUACUUGGAGGUUGACUGUGUUGUGAAGAGCAAAGCAUUGAGAGUUCAUUAUCUUGUUGAAGAGCUUGGGAGCUUUAGUGAGACUGGAAGAGCUUUAAGAGAACCAGAGGAUAAUGCUUGACUCGAUAUACUUAACAGAACCAUGGUAUUAAUGGAAUUAGAUAAAUGACUGAUAGGUUCUGGUUUAUUGGUUAGUGUUUGUGUUUAUGUGCUCGAUUGAUUUGGGAACUAGUAAAGUCUCUCCUGGUUAAGUUGCGUUUGCUAGCUCAGUAAGUGUAACUUACUAGAAUUGCAGAGUUGGGUGGUUAGAAAAGAUACAUGACUGAUAAGCCAUGACGGAUAGUGUUUGUUUAACUUACUAGAGUUGCAGAGUUGGGUAGUUAGAAAAGAGAUACAUGACGGAGAACCCCUGGUUUAUCUGUAUUGGUUAGUCACUUACCGUUAGUGUAUGUGUUCAUGUGUGCUUAGAUAUUGUAGGACCUUGCAAAGUGUCUCUCUGUAAAGAUGUGUUUUGCCAGCUCAGUAAGUCUUACUUGUUAGAGUUGAAGAGUUGGGGUUGGUAAGAAAAGUUCUCGUGUUGUUCCUGUGUUAAUUCACUGCAAUAUAAGAGUUUCUAGGACCUGAUGAAUUAGGACCAAUGGAAGACAGAGAUGGUUUGGGCAAUAGCCAAGGCCAGAGACAUGGGCUAAUGAAUAGUUCACCGAUGAUCUUUAAAGCUGUUUCAUAAAUCAAUUUAUCAAAGAAAGUUGGAUUUUGUUCACAUUCCUCACGAUUAGUCUUUCUAUUUUGUUGAUAAUUUGACAGUUACUAUAGUUAAGUAUCCUCUCAGACUCAGAUCGUAUAUUUGUGAUGUGAUACCGAAGUUCUGCGAAACAACCAUUUUAUACAGAAUUCAAUGUCUGCGAUAAAUAGAAACCUCACUAGUUGAAACGAAAAUCACAGAUAAACAAAUUUUGGAUGAAUGAAAACAGCAGAAUCAUUCCUAUAUCAUUCACAAUCUUAACACCAACAUUGUCUUCAACUCAUCAAAGCAUCGCUAAGCUCCAGCCACGCCACGAAAUAAAAAGAGAAAAACAGAUGGACUAGCACGCAUUAACCAUUACUACUCCAUCUUCUCGAGUUCUGACAUCCUUUCGAUGAUCGCCUGCAAGUAAAAAUUUGUUGCCAGCAUAUAAAAAGUUUAGCGGUUGAGCAAAGGAAUGUGUUAGUGAAAGAGGAAAGCCUGAAACAAAAAUCCAUACCCUUUUGCUUGUUUCUUGGAGCUCCCCAGCAAGAAUGAAUUCAUCGAGUAUCAGAUACACCUUUUAAAUGAAUCACAGAGAAUUGAUAGCAAGUAUUAGAGUACAAAAACAGAUCAAAUCUAGACACACAGAAGCAUCCACAUAGUUAGACACAAAUGGGGAAUGCAGAUAUAUAUUUAUCUAACGGGUCAUGAUGGUCAGCUUAGAAUUGGGAUGAAUACAAUGAGACGAGAACGAAGCUAGCUUUUGAUUUUAGCAAACACAAGCUUUCAUUUGAUAGACCGUUAGAAGCAUCUUGGAUAAAAAUCUUCAGAUUACCCUUAAAAACAUUUACACUAAACUUGUUCAAAGCACCUAAGUAGAGAAAUGAUGAAGCAAAAAUCCCAGGUUUAUUCGAAAUCAGUGGUUAUACAGCAUCAUAAGCUAAACUUUAAGGGUUAAAGGAUCCAAAGAAGCAGUUUUUGAGAAACUAAAUAUAAAAAGAGUAAGAGCAACAAAAGAGGUUUGGUACCUUGUGGAAAUUAAACACCAAAUCUAGCUCACAGACAUUGCUGAAGAAAUGGUCCAAAAUCUCCACAAACAAAUGGAUACACUCCAGGUAAGCCAACUCAUUUUCGGUUAUAUCCACGCACACGGAGAAAAACAAUCUAGUAUAUUACCUUGUGUGUUCUAAACUGAAAAUAGUUGCAGAACAGUUUUCUCAUUCUAGCUCACAGAACAAUAUUGGUUUCUUAAUCACCAUUUCAUGUCUCAUAAGACACAUAUCUACUUCUCUAUACAGAUAUUGAAUGAGUUGGAUUACUUCUACCUCAGCUUAUAACAACAUCUCAAACAACAACUAAUACCUCAACCAGAGAAACUUCGCAGAUUCGAAUUCGACAGAGCAAUGCUCCUAUACUGUGCUAGUAUCAACAGCCCUAAAUAUCAUAUACAAAACCUGGAUUAAGAAUCAUAUGCAUUCCUACAAUCUUGGUUCUUACUCACCUAAUUUUCAUGUCUCAUUAAGGUUUUUUCAAGUUCUCUAUAAAGAUCUUAAUACUAGAAAACUCAGCUCCAAUGCCUCAACUGAAGAAAUUUUUCAUAAUAUCUACAAAAGCAAUGGUUUUUUCAAUCAAAUCUACCAUAUAGUCUCUGGAGAACCCUAAUCUCAAUUGCGACUUUUAUGUUUAAGAUUGAAAACUUUUAAACCAAAAUCGGCUUUGUUGGUUAAAACCGAUCUUUCUAGAAUUUUAAGUUUUCGAUUUUGAACCAAACGUAAAAAAGUCCGUCGAAAAUACAACUCCUUACUUGAAAUCAUACCGUUUGUGUUCAGCCUCCAUAACUCCAUAGAGAGAAAAACGAUUAGCUUAGCUUCUAUCAUGAUUUAAAAAUUAUAUUUGAAUACUAAUCUUUGUGUUCAUGUUAAUUCAUCAUCGUAUAAUUUUUCUUUCAUGUUCGUGUAGUGUUUAUUUAGGAAGCAAGAUAAACAAUUCCUACAGCUUUGUCUAACCUUACUUCACCUUUUGAAUCAGUUAUAUUCUCUAAGUUUAUUUGUUUUAUUUUCAUUGGAAUAAUUUUCUAAUUAUUACGUUUGCUAAUUAUUGAACAUGAUCUUAUAAAAGUCGUUACGUCGGGCUUGGAAAACAUGGAAAUAUCUUGUAAACUUAAAAUAUCAUGUGUCGCCAAUAAAUAAUUAUAUAAGUAUGUAGAUUGGAAAACAUCAACAAAUCUCAUUGAAUAACACAAAUCAGUAUGAAAGAGUUCGAUGUUAGGUCCGGUUUGUUUUCAACAUAUUUAAACUUUUCAAAUUUUGUAUGUUAUAACUUUUCAAAAUCAAAAAUUUACUUAAAAGUUAUAACUUUACUUAAAUUAUAAAAAACCUUAAACCUAAGCGUUAAAUUUUUUACAAUACGUGAUAGCAUGUUGAACUUACACACCACUGACGGACCACAAAGGGACUGGAUGCUCGGCCCGAUUUGUUUUCAACGUAUUAAAAUUUAACACUUAGAUUCAACCAAAAAAAGAUCAUAUUUAAUUAUUAAAAAUUAAAACUAUUUUUACUUGAAAUUUGAAUUUAAAAACCUUGAUAUUUAGUUGUAAAACAGGAAUAUAGAAAUGUAAUUCAUAAAAUAUUUUUUUCUUUAUGUAUCUUUUUAUAUCGAAAUCAAUUUUUCUUAAUUUAUUUAAUUUUUUAAAAGUUAGAAAAGUUGAGAUAUUACCUGUGAUAUUUAAGAAUCCUGAAGGCUACAGCGACUCAAACGGUGGUCGUUUCUGAAUUUUGCUAAACGUAAUACAAAAACAAACCCAUCAGCGCAUUUCAUAAUUGUCAAAAAAUCAAAUUACUUUGAUAAAACUAAAGACAACUAUCACGAACCUGCUUAUAAAUAUUCUCCUAGUCUCUAAUGACUGAAGAAAACAGAGGAUCGAUGGAGAUCAUCAUAAAGACAUUCAUCGAGCCUUGAGUCACCAUCGAACCUUCUCCACCCUGAAACAAAAGCAUAAGACUCAGUUCAAAACAAAGAGAUGAAUGAUAAAUAUGAUACGUGAAUCACAAGGCUAUAACAUGUUUGAUGAUGAACUAAAAAGUACACAAAAUGGCUUGCAUUUGCAUCAAUCCAAAAUCGUAUAUGCAUUUACACACACCUAUGAGAUUCAGUUCUUUAAGUUGCAGAGAGGUAGUAAUUAUUCUAUAUGUGGUCGAGAAGCAACAUGAGCUCAGUAGUAAUAAAAUAAAACAAUGUCAAUGGAAACUCGCAAAUCAAAUCAGUAUACCUCAGGUUAUGAAUGUAGUAAUGCUGAUACUACAUGAUCCUUCUUCUUUCUUGAUAAUUGUGAGGAAGUCCUCUUGAUCCAAAUCUUUAUGAACUAUAGAAAAACCUGCAAAGAAGAGAACAACAACAGAGAAGAACAUCAAAGACCUGCAAAGACAAUAUAUAUAUACAAAUAUAACUAAAAUCAAAAACAAGAGAACAACAACAACAGAGAAGUAGAAACUAAUAGGUCUGAAACAAACAAACCUCCUCCUAUCAAAAGGUCUGCAACUUCCUUGUCUACAGAUCAAUGGAUUUGUCAGAAAACCAUAGCUAACACUGUAACGCUCACAUACAAAUACAUAUAACUCUAACAGUUAAGCAACAGAGGAAUUCUAACACAGAAAUACACAAAAAAUCAUAUAAGAAGGAGACAGAGAGAAGCACGAAUACUCAUUACAAAACCAAAGAGAGGAAUACUAACCAAAUACGUGAAUCAUCAUAAGGCAAACAUUGGCUUCCAGAUUCAAUGAAGACACAAAUCGAAUCAAAACAACUGUAAUUCCAAAAGGCAAAAGAAUGAUGAUUGCUACAUAAUAAACUCCUAAGACACAAGACCAUAUGCACAGAGAGGAACAAGAAGAGAUAGAGCUGUACCGUGAAGGGAAAAGAGGAAGCAAGAGCACCACCAUGAGGACGAAGCAGAGGUAGAUAGAUCCCAAAGACGAACCAGAAGAAGAGGAACCAAAAGCAGAGGUUAGAUCGCCACCACGUCUCAAGCCUCAGCAUUCUAUGAUCGCCCUGUUUGCAUAUCUUGAUCAUCAAACCGAAUCUCACAACAACAAAUCAACCAGAGAAAAGCUAUAAAGGUAGAAGCUUUACACCAACGAUGAAUCAGAGAUUCGAUGGCGAAGAGGGUUAUGCUUUGUUGUUCGACAAGAGAGAACGAACUAAGGAUAUUGAUUUGUUGAAGAGAAAGAAGAAGAAGUGAGAGAAACAGAGAAUUUUGAUUUCUCGAUCAAAAGGAAGAACGGAGAAGAAGAAAGUUUGAGAAGCUUUGAGUUGUUUAACAAAAAAGAAGAAGCUUUGAAUUGACAGAAAGAGUUUUUUUAAUUAAAAGAAAAGGAAACUGAUGAGAUCACAAUCACAACGGUUAUAUUAAUACCGAGAUUUUGUUUCUGUUAAAGUUUCUUCAUCACAACGGUAACAUUUUGAACUUGUUAAUUUUAAAAGAGAAUUUACUGAAAAAUAUAUAACUGUAAUUUAUAAACCUUCAGUUAUACUAUUAAUUCAUUGAAAAAUCCUAGAACUAUUUUAUUGACCUAUUCUGGAGGAGUUAUUUUACUAAUUAUUUCAUAAAAAAUGUUAAUUAUCAGACCAAGUUUUAUAUAAUAAGUUUCUCCUUAACACUACGCAUGACCACGGUUACGGUUUAUUAACCAUCGAUUACGGUUAUAAAUUUUCCUUAACCAUAACUUUAACCUUUAUGUAUACGGUUACGGUUACGGUUAUUUGAUGAUCAUGAUAUAGAUAAUAUUAUAAACUUUUUCCGGUAACGAAGCUAAACUAAAAUUCAUUAUUAGGGUUCUGCUCCUACAACGCCGUAAUUUUGAUUGCUUUAGUUUUUUGAAUUCAGGUUCGAUAUGGAGAUUGAGAGAAACGUUUCAGUCCCUGGUAAGAAGAAUCUAGUUAAAGUCGAGUUCAAGCUUGGGACAGAGAGCUACAUCAUUGAUUCAUCAAACAAGGGUGAUACUGUGUUGGACCAAUUGGUUUCGAUGAAAGUUGAAAGUAUGAAGAUACUUAAAGAUUUUAUCAUAAAGCUUAAUGUUCCAGAUGAUGAUGAUGUUCCCGACCAAAUCUUGUCUGAUGAUGAAGAAGGUGAUGAUGAUGUUGCUUCUCCUGUAAUAUGUCCUGUGAAACCUAAGAAGACAAAGAUUUGACUUCUUUUUUUAUUUAUCGCUACAUGUCUUGUUAAAUCUUGAACCGUUGUCAAAUCUGACUGUUUGUGUAACAGUUUUGGGUUUUCGAAGGAGAAUUAAGAGGCUUUGGAUCUUGCUAGUUGGAAUUUAGAUAUUGUGUUACUGAGGUUUUACUGUAGAUUGGAAUUCAGAUACACCUUUUAAUUGAAAUCACAGAGAAAUAGUAGCAAAGUAUUAGAGUACAAACACAGAUCAAAUCUAGACACACAGAAGCAUCCACAUAGUUAGACACAAAUGGGGAAUGCUUUUAAGAAUGCUGCAUAUAUAUAUUUGAAUUACACACUUUUAUUGGGAUGAAUACAAUGAGACGAGAACGAAGAUAGCUUUUGAUUUUAGCAAACACAAGCUUUCAUUUGAUAGACCGUUAGAAGCUUCUUGGAUGAAAAUCUUCAGAUUACCAUUAAAAACAUUUACACUAAACUUGUUCAAAACUUCUAAGCAGAGAAAUGACGAAGCAACAUCCCAGGUUUAUUCGAAAUCAGUGGUUAUACAACAUCAUAAGCUAAACUUUAAGGGUUAAAUGAUCCAAAGAAGCAGUUAGAGAAACCAAAUAUAAAAAGAGUAAGAGCAACAAAGGAGGUUUGGUACCUUGUGGAAAUUAAACACCAAACGUAAAAAAGUCCGUCGAAAAUACAACUCCUUACUUGAAAUCCUAAAGUUUGUGUUCAUCCUCCAUAACUCCAUAGAGAGAAAAACGAUUAGCUUAGCUUCUAUCAUGAUUAAAAAAAUUAUAUUUGAAUACUAAUCUUUGUGUUUCAUGUUAUUCAUCAUCAUAUAAUUUUCCUUUCAUGUUCGUGUAGUGCUUAUUUAGAAAGCAAGAUAAACAAUUCCUACAACUUUGUCUAACCUUACAUCACCUUUUGAAUCAGUUAUAUUCUCUAAGUUUAUUUGUUUUAUUUUCAUUGGAAUAACUUUUUUUCUUCUAAUUAUUACGUUGGCUAAUUAUUGAACAUGAUUUUAUAAAAGGCGUUACGUUGGACAUGGAAAACAUGGAAAUAUCGUGUAAACUUAAAAUAUUAUGCGGCGCCAAUAAAUAAUUAUAUAAGUAUGUAGCUUGGAAAAAAUCAACAACUCCCAUUGAAUAUCACAAAUCAGUAUGGACCACAAAGAGAGUUUGAUGCAAGGUCCUGUUUGUUUUCAACCAAUUUAAAUUUAACACUUAUAUUUUUUUUAAAGAAAAACAUUUUGUAUGUUAUUGUUAAAAAUCAAAACUGUACUUAAAAAUUAUAACUUUACUUAAACUAUAAAAAGACCUUAAAACCUAAGCGUUAAUUUUUUUACAAUACGUGAUAACAUGUUGAACUUAUACACCACUGACGGACCACAAAAGGACUGGAUGCUCGGCCCAAUUUGUUUUCAACGUAUUAAAAUUUAACACUUAGAUUUAACCCAAAAAUAAAAGAUUAUUAAUAAUUAAAACUAUUUUGCUUGAAAUUGAUUUAAAAAAACCUUGAUAUUUAGUUGUAAAUCAGGAAAAUAGAAAUGAAAAAAAAAACAUAAAAUAUUUUCUUCUUUAUGUAUAUUUUUAAAUCAAAAUCAAUUGCUCUUAAUUUAAUUUUUUAUGUAUAUUUUUAAAUCAAAAUCAAUUGCUCUUAAUUUAAUUUUUUUUUUAAGUUAGAAAAGUUGAAAUAUACCUGUUAUAUUUAAGUAUCCUGAGGGAUGAGGCGACUCAGUCCGUGGUCGUUUCUAAAGUUUGCUACACGUAAGUAGAAAACAAACCCAUCAGCUCAUUUCAUAAUCGUCAAAAAUUGAAUUACUUUGAUAAAACUAAAGACAACUAUUACGAUUUUACGAACCUGCUAAUAGCCUAAUACCUCUCUGUUCCUCUCUUCAAUAUAUAUAAAUCCUCCUAUAAAUUUUCUCCGAAGGUGUCUCAGUGGCUUGAUAGCCUUAGAUUCAAUAUCUUGUGACAUCGAUCUUGACUGAAGAAAACAGAGGAUCGAUGGAGAUCAUCAUAAAGACAUUCAUCGAACCUUGAGUCUCCACCCUGAAACAACAACAUAACCAAGUACACAACAUUCAUUAUCUAACACUGAAUACACAAAACCAUAUAAGACGACAUACAGAGUAAGACAGAGAACCACAAAUACUUUGUUCAAAACAAAGAGAUGAAUAAUAUAUAUAAUACGUGACUCACAAGGCUAUAACAUGUUUGAUGAUGAACUAAAAAGUACACAAGAUGGCUUGCAUUUGCAUCAAUCCAAAAUCGUAUAUGCAUUUACACACACCUAUGAGAUUCAGUUCUUUAAGUUGCAGACAGGUAAUAAUAAGUCUAUAUGUGGUCGAGAAGCAACAUGGGCUAUUAAAUAAAACAAUGCCAAUGGAAACUCCCAAAUCAAAUCAGUAUACCUUAGGUUAUGAAUGUAGUAACACUGAUACUACAUGAUCCUUCUUCUUUUUUGAAACUUGUGAGGAAGUCCUCUUGAUCAAAUCUUCAUGAACUAUAGAAAACAACAUCAAUGACCUGCAAAGACAAUGUAUAUAUAUACUAAUAACCAAAAUCAAAACAAAGAGAACAACAACAACCGAGAAGUAGAACUUAAUAGCCCACCAAGAACAAGCAUACCUUCUCCUAUCAAAAGGUCUGAAAAAUCAUAUAAGAAUUCUAUAUGUGGUCGAGAAGACAGAGAGAACCGAGAUUCAGUUCUGUAUGUUGCAAACAUGUAAUAAUAAUUCUAUAUGUGGUCGAGAAGCAACAUGAGCUAUUAAGUAAAACAGAUGCCAAACUCGCAAAUCAGAUCAGUAUACCUCAGGUUAUGAAUGUAGUAAUGCUAAUGGUACAUGAUCCUUCUCCUUUUUGAUAAUUGUGAGGAAGUCCUCUUGAUCCAAAUCUUCAUGAACUAUAGAGAACAACAUCAAAGACCUGCAAAGACAAUGUUUAUAUACUAAUAACUAAAAUCAAAACUAAGAGAACAACAACAAAAGCAGAGAAGUAGAAACUAAUAGCUCACCAAGAACAAGCAUACCUUCUCCUAUCAAAAGGUCUGAAAAACCAAUGGAUUUGUAAUAUAUAACUAAGCAAAAGAGGAAUUCUAACACAGGAAUACACAAAAAAUCAUAUAAGAAUACUCAUUACAAAACCAAAGAGAGGAAUACUAACCAAAUACGUGAAUCAUAAGUCCAACAUUGGCUUCCAUCAAUCGUAUAUACAUAUACACUUAUGAGAUUGUAAUUCCAAACAAACUGUAUAACACUGGACACAAAUCAAAUCAAAUCAAUUGUAAUUCCAAAAGGCCAACAUGAUUAAAGAACUAAAUAGUAUCAAAAAUUGGCUUCCAUCAAUCGUAUACUCUUAUGAGAUUCAGUUCUGUAUGUAGCAGACAUGUCAUUCUAUGUGGUCGGGAAUACGCUUAUGAGAUUCAAUGAAGACACAAAUCGAAUCAAAUCAAUUGUAAUUCCAAAAGGCCAAAGAAUGAUGAUGAUUGCUACAUAAUAAACUCCUAAAAAUUGGAUAAAAGUUCUCAACUUGUAAGAGACAAGACAUCAACAACAAGACCAUAUCCAGCACAGAGGAACAAGAAGAGAUAGAGCGGUACCUUGAAGGACAAGAGGAAGCAAGAGCACCACAGAGGUUAGAUCCCAAAGACGAACCGGAAGAAGAGGAACCAAAAACAGAGGUUAGAAUCCAAAGACGAACCAGAAGAAGAGGAACCAAAAGCCUCGAUCAUCACCACCAUGUCUCAAGCCUCAGCAUUCUAUGAUCAUCAAACCGAAUCUCACAACAACAAAUCAACCAGAGAAAAGCUAUAAAGGUAUAAGCUUUACACCAACGAUGAAUCAGAGAAUCGAAGGCGAAGAGGGUUAUGCUUUGUUGUCCGACAAGAGAGAACAGAGAACUAAGGAGAUUGAUUUGUAGGGUUUCGAAGAAGAAGAAGAAAGAACGGAGAAGCGUUGAGUUGAGAGAAACAGAAAAUUUUGAUUUCUCGAUCAAAAGGAAGAACGGAGAAGAAGAAGCGUUGAGUUGAGAGAGAAACAGAGUAAAUUUUUAAUAUUUAUAAGCAAAAUUAAUUAAGAGGUUAAUUAAAAGAAAAGGAAAUUGAUAAUAUCACAAUCACAACGGUUAUAUUAUUAUGAGUUUAAGCAAAUCAAUACGAGAUUUUGUUUUUGUUUCGGUAUUAUUACAUUUAUUAUACAACGGUCAUCUUUCCUAAUUUCAGCAUUUUUGAACCUUGUUAAUUUUAAAAGAGAAUUUAGCUAAAAGAUAUAAUUUGUAAACCGUAAGUUAUAAUAUUGAUUCAUUGAAAAAUCCUAGAACUAUUUUAUUGACCUAUUCUUGAGGAGUUAUUUUACUUAUUGUUUUAUGAAAAAAAUGUAAAUUAUUCAAAACUAAGUUUUAUAUAAUAAGUUCUCCAUUACACUUAAAAUAACAAACAAAAAUAUUGUCGUUUUGUCGACUUAUUUUGCAUGUUUUAUACCAAAUAGAAGUAUCGAGACCGGCAGAGAAUGUAUACAAACAAUGGCGAAUGGCACGGACAGGGCCGAGGAUUGAUAUAAAUGAGCGUGCCGGGUUUGCUGAUUUCUCGGUUUCGUGCGGAAGGGAAUAGAUCCAAGGUUGUGGAAUUGGUUGAUUCGACAAGAAGAAAGAUGGUUGGGAUGUAUUUAUUGACGCUAAAAUUAUGGUCUGACUGUUUUGGGGUUCAGUGGUGGCCUUCUUGUAAUUGUGGGUUACAUUGUUGGUUGCAAUGUGUGGCUCCUUAGAGAGUAUCCUGUUAUAUGUGUGCUAUUUUGUUUGUAUCUCGUUUUAAAGCACCCCAUUAUGUUUGUUUUCUCAUUAGAUUUUUACGGAUAUUUGUUGCAUUUACUAGGUUAUGAGCUCGCGCGGGGAACUGUUCAAAUUGAACAUGGUAUUUUUCCUCUUUAUCGGCUUUUUCUUUUACAUUAUAUUUCCAAUGAAAAUAUUGUAUUGGUUGCUUUUACUAUUUGGUAUUUUAUCAUGUCCUCUAGAAGCUUCUUUUUGGAUCAUAUGCAUCAUCCAGUUUGUUAAAAGAUUCCUGUUUUUGUAUUAUACAAUAUUGAGUAAGACAAAAUUGUAUCUAAUCAUCACAUUCUAUAAAAUGAGAUACAAAUGCAGAACAUGUGUAAAAUUAACACAAAAAUAACAUGUAACUAAUUAAUGAUCAAGUCGUUUCAUGUAGGUUCAAAUUUGUGGCGAAGUGAUCAUAGGGUUUGGGUGUUGCAUCUAAAAUUUAGAUGGCUUUUGUGUCGUGCUGCUCACUUUAACUUCAAAAUAAGGUAUAUGCGAAUCUUUGAACAAUUCAUGCUUUUUUUUACCAAACUGGUAAUGAACCAAUUUAUAUUACAUAGUAAGCGAUUCUAUUCAUUCAUUGAGUUUCUGACUAUUCAUUCUCUUCCGUCCGGUUUCGUCGUUAUCAACAAAAGCUAACCUCCCCUCAUAGCUUAUCAACAUGUCCCUAUAAAUACCCGAUGGUAAAUCUAUCAUACCAAAUUUUUCUAAUCUAACAUGAAAACUUAUUGUAACCCAAACAUUCUUAUGAUAAAUAUCUACUACAUAAUAUAUAACACCCUUGAUGCAUCGACCAAACGUAUUGUAGUCCGAAUAAUGGUUAUGGUUGGUUUUGACUGUUCUCCAUGAUUCUUGACCUGAUCCCAAUGUUAACACACGACACACUCCAGAACUUCUUAAAUAAGGUAUGCACAUUACUUUGUGUUUACCUUCGACCGGAUCAUAUCCUAAAAAAACUCUUACAUAACACCAGCUCUUUUCGGGUUUCGGCAAGGUUAAUAACUCUUUCUUGCUAGGGUUCCAAACUACAGGGGCUCCUGAUACUUGAAAACAGAUCAAGCCAUGGACAGAUUCCGUAGGGGGCAAGUAACAUUGUCCUUGCGGGAAUUUCAUAUGGUAACGAUAAAUAGGCUGAGAACAAGAGUAAGAAGAGUUCUGAUUAUCUUGAGGGAUUGAGGAAACAAAAAGCUUCCCAUCUGCUAUAACGCAGACAAGAAGACUCGGCUGCAGUGUUGAGAAGAACCGAGUCUCGAAAGAGCGGAUGAAAUAUGAGUCGGUGGUGAUUGAUGACCAUAGCUUCGAUACGCAACGGAAUCUCAAAACAUGAUCUCGAAGGCAGCCUUAAGAGUAUUUCUGAGUUUAGAUCUUUAGGAAAGGACGACGGAAGUUUCAAUUGCUUUCUUCUUUUUCGGUUGCCUUUUCUCUUCUUCUUUUUUGGUUUCUCCAUCUUUUUUUUUUUUUGUCAAAACCCUAAAUUUGUUAGGCUGUGUAGCGCAGACCAUUCAAAGUCACUAUAUAUUCUGCUAAUUGUUUGUGGUAGCACUUAUCUAAUAUAUUAAAAGAGUAGUCAUCAGUCUCAAGUUCGCUCUCAAAAACGGAUUACCUUUUUACCCUUAAUGAAAAAUAUAUUUCGUCUCCAAAAAGCCGACUUUUAUGUUUAAGAUCGAAAACUUUUAAGAUCGAAAACUUUUUAAGCCGGCUUUGUUGGUUUAAACCGAUCUUUUUAAAAUUUUUAAGUUUUCGAUUUUAAACCAAACGUAAAAAAGUCCGUGGAAAAUAAAACUCCUUACUUGAAACCCUACCGUUUGUGUUUAGCCUCUAUAACUCCAUAGAGAGAAAAACGAUUAGCUUAGCUCUAUCAGGAUAAAAAAUUUAUAUUUGAAUACUAAUCUUGUUUAUAAUUUAGCUUCAUGUUUAUAAUUUUUAUUUCUUGUUCGUGUAGUGCUUAUAGAAAGCAAGAUAAACAAUUCCUACAGUUUUUUCUAACCUUACUUCACCUUUUAAAUCAGUUAUAUUCUCUAAAUUUAUCUGUUUUAUUUUUCAAUUUUGGUAAAUUUGGAAUAACUUUUUUCUAAUUAUUACGUUUGCUAAUUAUUAAAGAUGCUCUUAAAAAAAGAAUUUCCGUUGGGCUUGGAAAACAUGGAAAUAAUAGAAAAUAUCCUUUAAACUUAAAAAAUCUUGCGGCGCUAUGUAGCUUGGAAAACAUCAACAACUCCCAUUCUAUACAAAUCAGUAUGGAUCACAAAGGGAGUUGGAUGCUAGGUCUGGUACGUUUUCAACAUCUUUAAACUUAACACUUAGAUUCUUUAAAAAUAAAAACAUUUUGUAUGUUGUUGUUCAAAAUCAAAACUUUACUUAAAUUAUAAAAAAACCUUAAAACCUAAGCGUUAAUUUUUUAUAAUACGUGAUAGCAUGUUGAACUUACACACCACUGACGGACCACAAAGGGACUGGAUGCUCGGCCCAGUUUGUUUUCAACGUAUUAAAAUUUAACACUUAGAUUCAACCCAAAAAAAAAAUUAUUAAAAAUUAAAAGUAGUUUUGGUUAAAAUUUGAUUAAAAAACCUUGAUAUGUAGUUGUAAAUCAGGAAAAUAGAAAUGAAAAACAUAAAAUCUUUUCUUCUUUAUGUAUAUUUUUAAAUCAAAAUCAAUUGCUCUUAAUUUUUUUUUUUUUUUUUUUUAAGUUAGAAAAGUUGAAAUAUACCUGUGAUAUUUAAGUAUCCUGAGAGCUGAGGCGAGGCGACUCCAUCCGUGGUCGUUUCUGAAGUUUGCUACACGUAAUACAAAAACAAACCCAUCAGCUCAUUUCAUAAUCGUCAAAAAUUCAAAUUACUUUGAUAAAACUAAAGAGAACUAUCAUACGAACCUGCUAAUAUAAUACCUCUGUUGCUCUCUUCAAUAUUCUUCUAAAUAUUCCUCUUAUAAAUAUUCUUCUANNNNNNNNNNNNNNNNNNNNNNNNNNNNNNNNNNNNNNNNNNNNNNNNNNNNNNNNNNNNNNNNNNNNNNNNNNNNNNNNNNNNNNNNNNNNNNNNNNNNNNNNNNNNNNNNNNNNNNNNNNNNNNNNNNNNNNNNNNNNNNNNNNNNNNNNNNNNNNNNNNNNNNNNNNNNNNNNNNNNNNNNNNNNNNNNNNNNNNNNNNNNNNNNNNNNNNNNNNNNNNNNNNNNNNNNNNNNNNNNNNNNNNNNNNNNNNNNNNNNNNNNNNNNNNNNNNNNNNNNNNNNNNNNNNNNNNNNNNNNNNNNNNNNNNNNNNNNNNNNNNNNNNNNNNNNNNNNNNNNNNNNNNNNNNNNNNNNNNNNNNNNNNNNNNNNNNNNNNNNNNNNNNNNNNNNNNNNNNNNNNNNNNNNNNNNNNNNNNNNNNNNNNNNNNNNNNNNNNNNNNNNNNNNNNNNNNNNNNNNNNNNNNNNNNNNNNNNNNNNNNNNNNNNNNNNNNNNNNNNNNNNNNNNNNNNNNNNNNNNNNNNNNNNNNNNNNNNNNNNNNNNNNNNNNNNNNNNNNNNNNNNNNNNNNNNNNNNNNNNNNNNNNNNNNNNNNNNNNNNNNNNNNNNNNNNNNNNNNNNNNNNNNNNNNNNNNNNNNNNNNNNNNNNNNNNNNNNNNNNNNNNNNNNNNNNNNNNNNNNNNNNNNNNNNNNNNNNNNNNNNNNNNNNNNNNNNNNNNNNNNNNNNNNNNNNNNNNNNNNNNNNNNNNNNNNNNNNNNNNNNNNNNNNNNNNNNNNNNNNNNNNNNNNNNNNNNNNNNNNNNNNNNNNNNNNNNNNNNNNNNNNNNNNNNNNNNNNNNNNNNNNNNNNNNNNNNNNNNNNNNNNNNNNNNNNNNNNNNNNNNNNNNNNNNNNNNNNNNNNNNNNNNNNNNNNNNNNNNNNNNNNNNNNNNNNNNNNNNNNNNNNNNNNNNNNNNNNNNNNNNNNNNNNNNNNNNNNNNNNNNNNNNNNNNNNNNNNNNNNNNNNNNNNNNNNNNNNNNNNNNNNNNNNNNNNNNNNNNNNNNNNNNNNNNNNNNNNNNNNNNNNNNNNNNNNNNNNNNNNNNNNNNNNNNNNNNNNNNNNNNNNNNNNNNNNNNNNNNNNNNNNNNNNNNNNNNNNNNNNNNNNNNNNNNNNNNNNNNNNNNNNNNNNNNNNNNNNNNNNNNNNNNNNNNNNNNNNNNNNNNNNNNNNNNNNNNNNNNNNNNNNNNNNNNNNNNNNNNNNNNNNNNNNNNNNNNNNNNNNNNNNNNNNNNNNNNNNNNNNNNNNNNNNNNNNNNNNNNNNNNNNNNNNNNNNNNNNNNNNNNNNNNNNNNNNNNNNNNNNNNNNNNNNNNNNNNNNNNNNNNNNNNNNNNNNNNNNNNNNNNNNNNNNNNNNNNNNNNNNNNNNNNNNNNNNNNNNNNNNNNNNNNNNNNNNNNNNNNNNNNNNNNNNNNNNNNNNNNNNNNNNNNNNNNNNNNNNNNNNNNNNNNNNNNNNNNNNNNNNNNNNNNNNNNNNNNNNNNNNNNNNNNNNNNNNNNNNNNNNNNNNNNNNNNNNNNNNNNNNNNNNNNNNNNNNNNNNNNNNNNNNNNNNNNNNNNNNNNNNNNNNNNNNNNNNNNNNNNNNNNNNNNNNNNNNNNNNNNNNNNNNNNNNNNNNNNNNNNNNNNNNNNNNNNNNNNNNNNNNNNNNNNNNNNNNNNNNNNNNNNNNNNNNNNNNNNNNNNNNNNNNNNNNNNNNNNNNNNNNNNNNNNNNNNNUAUGCUUUGUUGUUCGACAAGAGAGAACGAACUAAGGAUAUUGAUUUGUUGAAGAGAAAGAAGAAGAAGUGAGAGAAACAGAGAAUUUUGAUUUCUCGAUCAAAAGGAAAAAGAGACGAGAAGAGAGGGUUGAGAAGCUUUGAGUUGUUUAACAAAAAAGAAGAAGCUUUGAGUUGAGAAGAAGAGUUGUUUAAUUAAGAGAAAAGGAAAUUGAUAAAAUCACAACGGUUAUAUUAAUAUGAGUUUAAGCAAAUCUAUACCUAGAUUUUGUUUCUGUUAAAUUUUCUUCAUCACACACAACGGUAACAACUUAAUUUUGAUAUGUAAAAACAUUUUGAACCUUGUAAUUUUAAAAGAGAACUAGAUUUGGAUCCGCACAUACGUGCGGGAUAUAUUUGUGAAUAUAAUUAUUUGAUAUAAUCUUUAUAACUCAUAUUUACAACGAUUUGGUUUCAUCAAACUUCGGAACAUUUGUAAUAAUAAUGGUUUCAUCAUAAUAUUUGGAUUGAUACGAAGACAGAUCCAGAUAUUAAACUAAUGUAAUCACUUAUAUUUUUAGCAAGCUAUUAAACUAUUAAAUCAGAUAAAUGUCAAAAUAUCAAACUUGCCAAACCGAAUUACCUAAAUUGUCAAGGUGGACGUAUUUGAUGUUUUUACCAGUAAAAAGUCUACCCCAUGAAAGCCACAUGAGCAACAUUUACAUUCUUCUCGUUUGAAUUUGCAAAAAUUCGUAGUUAGCAUACAUUUUGCUAAAUUUUCUAAUUUAGACAUAAUACUCAUAUCUUACGUUUGGAUAUUCUCAAACUCUCUUAAACUUUAAAAUUAUCAUCUAAAGUAGAUAUUUACCCGUUCAAAAGUUAGCGCAUAUUCAAAUUAAGUUCUGAGAUUCGAAUAUAGAUAAAAAAAACUAUUUAGAUUGUUAUACAAAAUUUAUCUCUCAUACAUCUUAUCAUGAAUAGUUUGGAAAUAUUUUUCCGUUCCCAUUUCAUAUUCACUGUUUCCCGUUCAGAUAUUGGCAAGGUAAUGUUCGUAAUGUUUCACACUCUACGUACCUUCAGAGUUAUAUUUUUAGAUAUAAUUAUUUGAUAUAUCUGUUAUCUAUAUUAACAUUUUAAAGCAGUUUUUGCAAUAAAUCCUAAAUUUUCAAACUAUUUACAAAAAUGCCACUGCAUUACAGUAUCUUUAAAAAUAAAUGGAAAAUAAUAAAAAUGGAAAUACAUCAAUAUUUAGAAGAUUAAAAUUAUAGUUCUCCUAUCAUAUUUUUUGAUUUGAUUUUUUAAUUUUUUUUUGAAUCAUUAUAUAACACAUAAGAUUAAUAAAAUCUAAUUUUGUUUUUCUAUAUAUUUUGUGAUUCGAAUUUUAAAAAAACGGAUAUAUAUAUAUAUAUAUAUAUAUAUCACUCAAUUAAUAUAAAAAGUAUGUGUUCAACAUCUUAAAUCCGCUAAAAUAUUAGAGAAUGAUUCAAAAUCAUAUUAUACAUAUGAUCAUAAUAGAUUUAAAUCUGAAUGAGCAGAAAGUUUCACUUAAUAAGCAUCCAAACUUUAAAAUUUGUAUAUCAAUUCAUUCGAUUUAGGUGAAUUGGGUAAUGUUUAAAAUAUGUUUCUUUUGAAAAUAUAAUUUGUUUAAAAUAUGUUUCCUUUGAUUGAUUUCACUUAAUAAGCAUCCAAACUAUAAAAUAUGUUUACAAAUACACAAUUUCUAAUUUAAUAGGCCUCAUUUUAUGGUAACAAAUUUAUUAUGAUUUCCAUGAAUCUGUGUUAGUUAUUAGAUUUGAUUUUUUUAAAAUAUUUUAAAGCAUAUUUAUUUGAGAAAUUGAUACAAAUAACCUUUUUAUGAUACCCUCUUUUAAAAAUAUCCUCUUUUUUUACCAUUUUCAUUUUUGCCCUCUCUUAUAUUUUAAUGGCCAUUUUACCCCUAUUUGAAAGAAUAUUCUUUCCCAAAGGAAGGAAUAUUCCAUCCAAAAAUUUUCCCCCCAAAUAUUUCCCGCCAAAAACUUUCCCGCCAAAAUUUUCCCGCCAAAAAAGUUUCCGAGAAAAAUUUUCCCGCCAAAAAAAUUUCCGCAAAAAAUUUCCCGCAAAAAAAAAUAUUUUUUCAAAAUUUUCCCGCCAAAUUUUUUAAAGGGUUUACAAGAUUUUUUAAAGGGUCUUUUAAAGGGUUUACAAGGGUUUUUAAAGGGAUUCACAAGAGUUUUUAAAUGGUUUUUAAAAGAUUUGUAAUGGUUUUUAAAGGGUUUUAGAAGCCUACAAAGGUUUUCAAAUGGUUUUUAAAUGAUUUACAAUGGUUUAUAAAAGUUUUUAUUAGUUUAUAACAGUUUUAAAAGGAUUUACAAGGAUUUUAAAAGGUUUUUAAAAAUUUACAAGGAUUUUUAAAGGUUUUUUAAAAGGAUUUAAAAGUGUUUUUAAAAGAAUUUAAAAGUGUAUUUAAAGGCAUACAAAGAUUUAAAAAUAGCUUCAAAGGAUUUACAAGAAGUUUUAAAGGGUUUUAGAAGUUUACAAAGGUUUUUGAAGGGUUUACAAAAGUUUUUAAAGGUAUUACAAGUUCUUUAAAAUGGGUUUUAAGGAUUUACAAGGGUUUUUAACGGGUUUUAGAAGUUUACAAAAGUUUUUAUUAAAUGAUUUAUCACGGUUAUAAGUGGUUUAAAGGGAUUUACAAGUGUUUAUAAAUGUUAUAAAAUGAUUUACAAUGGUUUUAAAAGGUUUACUCAAGUUUUGAAAGGUUUUGGAUUACUUUUAAAAGAUUUACAACGGUUUUUAAAGGAUUUUUUAAGGGAUUUAUAAAUAUUUACAAGGUUUUUUUAAGAAAUUGCGGAAAAAUUUUGGCUGAAAAUUUUUGGCGGGAAAAUUUUUGUCGGAAUUUUUUUUGGCGGGAAUUUUUUUUUGGCGGGAAAAUUUUUUGUCGAAAUUUUUUGACGGGAAAUUUUUUUCCGAAAAUUUUUGGCGGGAAAAUUUGGCGGGAAAUUUUCCGGAAGGAAUAUUCUUUUUGUUGGAAUAAUAUUCAUUUUUUCAUCAUGGGUUAUAAUAAAAGAGGGUAUUUUGAAAAUGAGCACCUAGAGAGGGUACUUGUAGAAAAUGGUAUCAUAAUAAAGGUUAGUUGUAAAAAUCUCCCUUGAUUAAUUUCACUUAAUAAGCAUCCAAACUAUAAAAUAUGUUUACAAAUACACAAUUUCUAAUUAAACAUGCCUCAUUUUAUGGUAACAGAUUUAUUAUGAUUUCCAUGAAUCUGAGUUAGUUAUUAGUUUUGAUUUUUUUAUUUUAUUUUAAAGCAUGUUUAUUUUAAUUGAAAAUAUAUUUUGCUGUCUUCAAGAUAUUUGAAAAUUUUAAUUUAUAAUUUAAUAAUGCUUAAACUUAAAAGAAUUUAAUUGAGUAUAAAUAUUUAUAAUAUUUUCAACUUUACAUGUAGUUGAUAUUUUACAACUUUACAUAUAAUAUUUUAAAACCUUUUAACAGAGUAAAUAUUAAUAAUACCUAAACUUUUAUAGAAUUUAAAUAUUUAUAGUAUUAUUAUCUUUCCUUGGACCUAAUUUAUUUUAAACGUUUAUUUACCUAAUUUAAACUGUUUACAUAUAUACAAUUUAAAAUACUAUACAUAUCAGUUUAUUUUAAAAGUUUCGAAAUUUUUUAAAUUAAAAUGUUUUGAAUUGUAUUAGUUUAAAUUAGUUAAAAUAAACGUUUAAAAUAUGUUUUCUAUAAUACAGUUCUAGUAACAGUUACAUUCUCCAUCCGCUUCACAGUUGAGACAUAUAUCAAAGAUGGAAGAAAACCAUGAUAUGCUGGCUCUGUCUCUAAGUGUAACACCAGUCAAUAGAACCGUCUCACAGAAACCCCCGAUGAUGCCUCUAGGCUUGGUUUCUCCAUAUCAUCAACAAGCACUUAACAUCAACCAUAUGUUACAGAACCAGGUGACAAGAGAUUUGUGUACUCAGUUACGUAAUGUGGAGGAAAGAGCUGUCUAUUUCAUGAAAGUAAAGGACAAAACCAUCGAAGAUAUGAAGAAACAGUCUGGAGAAAUGGAACUUCGCCUGAGAAAAGCAUUGUCGGAAGCCGAGUUCUGGAAGAAGCAGUCGGCUGAGAAAACAGAACUGUGCAGAGAUCUUGCCGGGAAGCUAUUGCAAGUGAGAAAGAGAGAAAAGUCGAAGAAAGUUAUUCCGGAGCAGAACGAGGCGGAAGAGGCUGAGUCGUCCACUGGUGAUAAUGGAGAGGAUGAUUUAAACACAGCAAGUAUUCGUUUAUGCAAACGUCGCCGUCUUUGAAAUUGGCGCGGGGUUUUAAGGCACGAAUGUUUUUGUUUGUAUGGACAUGGACGUGUGGUCAAAUGUUCCCACUUCCUAUAGUUGUUAUAUAUAUUCGAUGUUGUAUGGGGAGGGAACCUUGAACAUGAUUGUAAUCAUUCUAAAUAUAAAACAUGUCUAAUUUCUGUUACAUAUUAUUUUGUAAAACGCAUAACUUUGAAUUAUAGUUAUAUGAUAUUGCCUUUGUGAAGAAAAAAAAAAAAAACGUUUAAAAUAUUAUAUAAUCUUAAAAUUUUCGAAUUUAAUAGGCCACAUUUUAUGGUAACAAAUUUAUUAUGAUUUCUAUGAAUAUUGGUUAGUUAUUAGUUAGACUUUUUAUUUAUUGUAAAGCAUAUUUUUUCAUUUGAAAAUCUGUCAUUAAUUUUGUUUGGAUAUAGGUUUAGGAUUACAUUUUAUUUCAUUUUACUAUUUAAUCUGUUUGGAUACACUUUUAAAAAAUGCUUCCCUUUAAAUAGUAUAGAUUUACUGAAAAAGAUAUGACCGUAAUUUGUAAACCGUCAGCUAUACUAUUAAUUCAUUGAAAAAUACUAUAACUACUAGAUUUUAACCCGCGUGACGACGUUUUAAAAUGUAUUCUUUUUAUUAAUUUUGUGAGUAUAUAAGAGUGUACUACUAUAUUUUGAUUGUUAAUUCUAUGAUUUAACCCGUAGAAUAUUAUAUGAUAAUUUAUUUUUUAUAUAAUAGUAAUUUUAUCAAAUUAAUUAAAUAAGUAUAAUAUUUAAAGUAAUCAAAUGAUAUUGACAUAAUAUUCGUUUACAUAGUAUAAUUUCAUAUUAAAAUAUUUUGUGAGUUAUACUAUAGUAGACAACCCGUAAAAAUAUCUAUAAUCAUAAUUAUGUAAAUUAUAACUCGUUCCAUCACAUGAUCCGUGCUUCACAAUUAUCAAUAUUACUUUAGUACAUCCAUAUUUUUGUAUCGUUUGAGUAAUACAUCCGUAUCUAAAAAUUCAAAUUGCAACAUAUGCAAAAAAUGUUUUUUUAUAUUUUUACUAUACAUAUGUUUAUGUAAUAAUAUAAACUUAAAAACAAAUAAGGUCAUAUAAAGAUAUUGGAGAAAUAUUUGAUUUAUUAGGGAGAGAUUUUAGGAAACUUUGUUAAAUGUAGUAAAAAUUGAUUUCUAAUUUUGCAAUUUUAUUAUGAUUUAAUUACAAAAUUUAUCUUAAAAUUUUACUAUUUAAUCAAAUGGGAAGGGUUUAAUUAUGAAAAUAUAACAAAAUAAAAGGGUAGAACACAAAAGGUACUUCAAAAAUGUUAAUAUAGAUUUUAUUGACCUAUUCUUGAGGAGUUAUUUUAUAAUUUUUCUAUGAAAAAAUGUAAAUUAUCAUAUAAAUUAAUAAUGAUAUUGGGAUCAAGAAAUUCUAUGAAUUUAUAGAGGUAUUAAUAAAAAUAAUUUCCUAAUUUGGUAAUUUUUUUUAAAAUAGAUACAUCAAAACUAAGAUUUAGUCAUUAUAAUCAAUAAUUUUUUAGAACCAAAUACACCAAAAACAAUAAAUCAUCAUGAAUGAAUAAAACACUAUGAUUUUUUUGAUACAUGAAAUCUAUUAGAAUUGGAUUCUAAGAAAAAUUAAUAUAAAUUUGAGAAAAUAUUUACAAAAGAUUUUCAAAAAUAUUAUUAUCUUAUUAUUUUAUCGGAAUGUGUUUAAAAUUACAAUGGUCCCAACUUGGGACCGAGAAAAUUUAUUAAAUUAUAAAAUUUAUUAAUUUAUCGAGUAUUAAUUUAUCGAGUAUUAAUUUAUAGAGGUUUUAAUGUAAUUAGUUUUUCCAUUAUGCUUAAAAUAAUGGAACGAAAAUAUUGUGGCUUUUUAGACUUAUUUUGCAUAUUUUAUACCAAAUUGAAGUAUCGAGACCGGCAGAGAAGUUGUACAAAGAGUGGUGAAUGGCACGGAGUUAUCAGCGUACCAGGUAUGCUGAUAUUUGUAAGUUUUUAUUUAAUCUAAAUAUUUAAUUCGAUUUAUAGAGAAUUUUUGAGAAAUACCCCUUUUCGUGUACCUCUUUUUAAAAAUACUCCCUUUAUCUAUCCAUUUUCAAAAAUACCCCUUUUUAAAUAUAAAAAAAUUAUAAAGUUUUAUAUAGUUUAUAAGGUACUUCUAUAUAAUAACUACUACUGGGAGAUUCGAUACAAAUGUUUUAAAAUGUUCUAAAUAGUUUUAAAUCGUUUUUAUAAGUUUUAUAAGGUUUUUAAAAGGUUUUUAAAAGGGUUUAUACGGUUUUAUAAGGUUUUUAUAAGGUUUUUAUAAUUUAUUUUUACGCUAUUUAUGAAAGGUAUAUAAAGUUUUAUAUACAUAUAAAGGUAAUUUGUGUAUAUAUUUAUAAGCUUACACACAUAUUUGGAUAAAUUUCAACAUUUUUAUUGAGUUUUUUGAUAAAGUUUGAAAAAGGGGUAUUUUUUAAAAGAGGUAUAUGAAAAGGGGUAUUUUUGAAAUUACCCCUUAUAUUAUUUGAUAUUUGAAAUUUUUAAUUUAUAUAAAUAUUCAAGUUUUUGUAAAGUAUAAUGAAAUUUUAAUUAUUAUAAAAUUUAUUUUACCAAAAUAUCGAGAAUUGAUGGACACGAAAAAAAAACAGGGUAUUCAACUAUUCAUAUAAAAAAAAUAUAGAAAAAAGGUUCUUCGGGUAAUUUAUUAUAUAAACAAGUUUUAUAUAAUAAGUUUCUUCAUUACGCUUAAAAUAAUGGAACGAAAAUAGUGUCGCUUUGUAGACUUAUUUUGCAUAUUUUAUACCAAAUAGAAGUAUCGAGAUAGGAAGAGAAUAUAAUGUAUACAAACAGUGGCGAAUGGCACAGACAGGGCCGUAGGUUGAUAUAAAUGAGCGUACGGGGUUUGCUGAUUUCUCGGUUUCGUGCGUAAGGGAAUGAAUCCAAAGUUGAGGAAAUGGUUGAUUCGAUAAGAAAGAAGAGAAUUGAUAUGCAUUUUAGAGACGUUAGAAAUAUGUUUGAUAUUAUUGGGGAUGACUAUUAAUAGAUUAUACAACUGGAUCUUGUAAUUAAUAAAGACUAAUAUAAGUUUCAAAAAGAGCUGAUGAUUUGUCAAAAUUUUAAGCUAUGAGCUCAUGUGUUACAUAUCUUUUUGCGGUAAAAAAUCAUAUUUUCACUAUCUUGCUGAACCUGACAAGUGACAAUGUUUUCUUUAUUUAAUAAGUGCUCAUGUCCUCCAAAAUCUUCCAAAUUUUUCAGGAAGAUUUUGUUGGUAUUCUUCAUUUGCUCCAAACUGAAUCUUAGUCGAACAGCUUUGAGCCUUCCUUUAUGGCUCUGGCUCGGGUUUUGUUGUAAGUAACUAUUUGUGUACAAGUUAACUAAUCUCAAGCGAGGGCCAAAAGAUUUGAGGUUCAAGUAUACUUGGACUAUUAUCCCGAUGAGUUCCAAUAUAUUAUGCCGACUUUCGAUCCUCCAAAAAAAAUCAUUAGCAUUGAAAGUAUUAGACCCUUCAUGGUUUUUUGUGUAUUUGGCUUGUAUUUUGAACAAUAUUUAUUCCCUCCCUAUCUUGGAGCUUUUGGCUAAAGAGUAUUCAUUCCAGCAAAUUUAUGUUUUUUAAUCUUCAAGUGAACUAGGUCUGCCAGUUCGGAUUCUUGGGUCGGUUAUCUUUGAACUCACAUACAUACAUUAUCUUUCUUUUGCAAGUUCUAUCUAUAUAGAAUUUGAUAUGAACUUUUGUAAUAUGUUAAGCAUCGGAGUGGAUGUGUGAAGAAAAGAUCUUUAAUAUUUUUUCGAAAGACUAUGCAGCUCAGCUUCAACUGGUUGAUACUAUGCUUGGUUUGGAAGAAGCGGAGAAGUUCUUCAAAACCAUCCCCGAAAACAUGAGGGAUUACUUUGUCUACAACAGUCUCUUGAAAUCUUACACUAAAUCUGUGAAAUCACAUGAUAAGGCUGAGGCCACAUUUGAGAAGACAAAAACAAAACAAAACAAAACAAAAAUCAUAAAGUUGAAUAAAUUAAAACUACAGGGGCUCCUGAUACUUGAAAACAGAUCAAGCCAUGGACAGAUUCCGUAGGGGGCAAGUAACAUUGUCCUUGCGGGAAUUUCAUAUGGUAACGAUAAAUAGGCUGACAACAAGAGUAAGAAGAGUUCUGAUUAUCUUGAGGGAUAGAGGAAACGAAGAGCUUGCCGUAUGCGAUAUAGCAUACGAGAAGACUCGGCCGCAGUGUUGAGAAGAAUCGAGUCUCGAAAGAGCUGAUGAAAUAUGACCAUAGCUUCGAUACGCAACGGAAUCUCAAAACAGAUCUCGAAGGCAGCCUUAAUAGUAUUUCUGAGGUUAGAUCUUUAGGAAAAGACGACGUUUUUCGGUUCCUCUUUCUCUUCUUCUCUUUUGGUUUCUCCAUUUUUUUUUUCGGUUGUCAAAACCCUAAAUUUGUUAGGCUGUGUAGCGUAGACUAUUCAAAGUCCCAAUAUAUAUUCUGCUAAUUGUUUCUGGUAGCACUUAUCUAAUAUAUUAAAAAAGUAGUAUGGAGGCUUACGUUCGCUCUCAGAAACGGAUUACAUUUUUAUCGUUAAUGAAAAAUAUCUCUCGUUUCCAAAAGCAGACUUUUAUGUUUAAGAUCGAAAACUUUUAAAUACAACUCCUUACUUGAAACCCUACCGUUUGUGUUUAGCCUCCAUAACUCCAUAGAGAGAAAAACGAUUAGCUUAGCUUCUAUCAUGAUUAAAAUUUUAUAUAUUUUAAUACUAAUGAUAUGAUCGUGGCUAGCACGGAGCAAGAGGCUACAGAGAAACCGGAGAUGGUGGGAAGGAUCACUCAUUCAAGAGCUAAGGAGAUGGCCAAGGAAGCACACGCAUUCAUAGCUGACGGGUCAUUCAACCUACCAAGGAUCCAAGUCUUCAACAUAUCUAACCUGAAGACUUCACCCGGUGAUGAGGACUAGGUAACUUAGGUGAGAAGUUUGUACUCUUUUUCCCAUAGCUGAGUUUUGUCCCAAUGGGUUUUCUCAGCAUGGUUUUUAAUGAGGCAAAUGGAUCACUACGUCGAGUUAUCUAGAAAUCAUUACCAAAGGGGAAUAAUGUACUUCUGUACUACUACAGGUCGUCAAGCUUCUGUACUAGUUCAGCCGACUUCUGUACUACUACAGGGCGUCGGGAAAUCUUGUUGUUUUUAUUAUUUCCUUAAAACAUGUUGUUGUUUUGGUUUUGAACUUCUUGUUGUUUGGAGUGUCGUGCCCUAGGGUAUUUAAAACCCAAAGCUACGCCUCUUUUCUCUUUAGCGAAGAAGUUGUAUGAACAAGUAUUGUCACACUUUUUCUCUCAAUUCGAAUUCUUGAAUGCGUUCUAGAUUUCCGGGUUUCUAUACACUUUAUGAUUCAGAAACUCUUCAUUGUUACAAUCCAUACAACCACCUAAACAUCUAUCUCCAUCAAACCAUUGUUUCAUCAUUCAAUCUUCUCAAAUCAUCACUCACGUUCAUCGCCCAUCAUCAUCAACAAACUCACGUCGCCUAUCACCUAUCUUCAGCCUUCAUCGGAGUUCUAUCCUAGGGAGAUCAUAUUAACUAAUCUUUGUGUUUCAUGUUAUUCAUCAUCAUAUAAUUUUUCUUUCGUGUUCUUGUAAUGCUUAUUUCGAAAGCAAGAUAAACAAUUCCUACAGCUUUGUCUAAGCUUACUUCACCUUUUGAAUCAGUUAUUCUCUAAGUUUAUUUGUUUUAUUUUCAUUGGAAUAAAUUUCUAAUUAUUACGUUUGAUAAGUAUUGAAGAUGAUAUUAAAAAGACGUUAAGUUGUACUUGGAAAAUAUGGAAAUAAUGGAAAUAUCAUGUAAACUUAAAAUAAAUAAUUAUAUAAGUAUGUAGUUUAGAAAACAUCAACAAAUCCCAUUGAAUAACACAAAUUAGUAUGGACCACAAAGAGAGUUCGAUGCGAGAUCCAGUUAGUUUUCAACAUAUUUAAAUUUAACACUUAGAUUUUUUAAAAUAAAAACAUUUUGUGUGUUGUUGUUAUAAAUCAAAACGUUACUUAAAAAUUAUAAUAACUUUACUUUAAUUUUAAAAAAACUUGAAACCUAAGCAUUAAAUUUUUUACAAUACGUGAUAACAUGUUGAACUUAUACACCACUGACGGACCACAAAGGGACUGGAUGCUCGGCCCAGUUUGUUUUCAAUGUAAUAAAAUUUAACACUUAGAUUUAACCCCACAAAAUGAUCAUUAUGAUUUAUUAAAAAUCAUAACUAUUUUUACUUGAAGUUUGCUUUUACAAACCUUAAUAUUUAGUUGUAAAUCAGGAAAAUACAAAUGAAAAACAUGAAUUUUUUUUUUAUGUAUAUUUUUAUAUCAAAAUCAAUUGUUUUUAAUUUUAAAUUUUUUUAAUAAAAGUUUGAAAAGUUGAAAUAUACCUGUAAUAUUUAAGUAUCCUGAGGGAUGAGGCGACUCAAUCCGUGGUCGUUUCAGAAUUUUGCUACACGUAAAUAGAAAACAAACCAAUCUGCGCAUUUCAUAAUCGUCAAAAAUUCAAUUAUUUUGAUAAAACUAAAGACAACUAUUACGAACCUGCUAAUACCUCUGUUCCUCUCUUCAAUAUACAUAAAUCCAUGGAUCGAUGGAGAUCAUCAUAAAGACAUUCAUCGAACCUUGAGUCACCAUUGAACCUUGACCCUCCACCCUGAAACUAAAGCUUAAUCAAGUACAAAUCUUCAUCAUCCAAGACUACAGAAUACACAAAAUCAUACACUCAGUUCAAAACAAAGAGAUGAAUCACAAAGGCUAACAUGUUUAAUGAACUAAAAAGUACACAAAAUGGCUUGCAUUUACACACCUAUGAGAUUCAGUUGUGUAUGUUGCAGACAGGUAAUAAUAAGUCUAUAUGUGGUCGAGAAGCAACAUGAGCUCAGUAGUAAUAAAAUAAAACAAUGCCAAUGGAAACUCGCAAAUCAAAUCAGUAUACCUCAGGUUAUGAAUGUAGUAAUGCUGAUGCUACAUGAUCAUCAAAUCUUCAUGAUAAUAGAGAACAACAUCAAUGACCAGUAAAGACAAUGUAUAUAUACUAAUAACCAAAAUCAAAAACAAGAGAACAACAACAACAGAAAAGUAGAAACGAAUAGCUCACCAAGAACAAGCAUACCUCCUCCUAUCAAAAGGCCUGAAAAACCAUAUAAGAAGGGAUAUAUAAAGGAGACAGAGAGAACCACGAAUACUCAUUACAAAACCAAAGAGAGGAAUACUAACCAAAUACGUAAAUCAUAAGUCCAACAUUGGCUUGCAUCAAUCGUAUACUCUUAUGAGAUUCAGUUCUGUAUGUAGCAGACAUAAAAGUUCUCAACUUGUAAGAGACAAGACAUAAAAAACCAGACCAUAUGCAGACAGAGGAACAAGAAGAGAUAGAGCGGUACCUUGAAGAGUUGAAGGGAAAAGAGGAAGCAAGAGCACCACCAUGAGGACGAACCAGAGGUUAGAUAACACGAACCAGAAGAAGAGGAACCAAAAGCAGAGGUUAGAUGCCAAAGACGAACCAAAAGCCUGUAUGUAGCAAACAUAAAAGUUCUCAACUUGUAAGAGACAAGACAUAAAAAACCAGACCAUAUGCAGACAGAGGAACAAGAAGAGAUAGAGCUGUACCUUGAAGAGUUGAAUGGAAAAGAGGAAGCAAGAGCACCACCAUGAGGACGAAGCAGAGGAAGUAGAACCAAAAGCCUCGAUCAUCACCACCAUGUCUCAAGCCACAGCAUUCUAUGAUCAUCAACCAGAAGAAGAGGAACCAAAAGCAGAGGUUAGAUCGCCACCACGUUUCAAGCCUCAGCACCCUAUGAUCGCCGUGUUGCAUAUCUCGAUCAUCAACGAGAGGAAAGCUAUAAAGUUUAAAGCUUUUUCACCGAAGAUGAAUCAGAGAAUCGAAGGAGAAGAGGGAACGAACUAAAGAGAUUGAUUUGUAGGGUUUAGAAAGAAGAAGAAGAAGAAAGAACGGAGAAGAAGAAGAGAUAGAGCGUUACCGUAAAGGGAAAAGAGGAAGCAAGAGCACCACCAUGAGGACGAAGCAGAGGUUAGAUCCCAAAGACGAACCAGAAGAAGAGGAACCAAAAGCCUCGAUCAUCGCCACCAUGUCUCAAGCCUCAGCAUUCUAUGAUCGCCAUGUUUGCAUAUCUCGAUCAUCAAACCAAAUCUCACAACAACAAGAGAAAAGCUAUAAAGGUAGAAGCUUUACACCAGCGUUGAAUCAGAGAAUCGAAGGCGAAGAUGGAUAUGCUUUCUUGUUCGACAAGAGAGAACGAAUCAACCUGUAGGGUUUCGUAGAAGAAGAAGAAGAAGAAGAAGAAAGACCGGAGAAGAAGAAGUGAGAAACAGAGAAUUUUGAUUUCUCUAUCAAAAGGAAGAGCGGAGAAGAAGCGUUUGAGUUGAGAGAAUUAAAGAGUAAAUUUUUAAUAUUUAUAAGCGAAAUUAAUUAAGAGGUUAAUGGAGGUGUUCAAUAGCUCUCAGAACGUAAUGAGACUAUGAGAACACUAAAGGGAAAAUGCUUGACUCGUAUUAUGGUAUUAGAGGUACUAGACAAGAAACAUAGAUGACACUUAUGUCCUGUGAGUUUUGUGUAUAGAUAGAUAUUGGUUAGUGUUGUUACAGUUAAGUGGUAGACAUUGAACCUUUGUGAAGUUUGCUGGUUGUGCAACAGUUUUUUUUAUCUAAGAAGAAUAUGAGGACUUAGGUAGAAAUAUGGAAAUGGGGUUAUUGAAUUCUUACUUGGAGGUUGGUGACUGUGAUGCAAAGUGCAAAGCACUGAGAGUUCAUUGGAAGAGUUUAAGAGAACCAGAGGAAAAUGCUCGAGUUAAUAGACUUAACAGAACCAUGGGGCAUGGACAUUAGAUAAAUGAUUGGUAAUCACUGGUUUAGCUAUAUUGGUUAGUGUUUGUGUUUAUGUGCUUGAUUGAUUCAAGAACUUACCAGAGUUGAAGAGUUGGGUGGUGAGAAAAGAGAUACAUGACGGAGAAGCCCUGGUUUAUUUAUAUUGGUUAGUGUCUGUGUUCAUGUGUGUUUGCCAGCUAAGUAAGUCUAACUUGUUAGAGUUGAAUACUUGGGUUGGUAAGAGAAGUUCUCGUGUUCCUGUGUUUUGUCACUGAAAUAUUAGAGUUUCUAUGACCUAAUGAAUCCAACCAAUGGAAGACACAGAUGGUGGAUAACAGCAAAUGCCACUAGUGGUAUAAGAGCCAAGAACAUUGUGCAUUGUCUGCACCCAGCGCCCGAUACAGGCAAUUGAAAAGAUCGCCAAGAGGAUCCUUAAAGCUGUUUUGAGAAUCAUUUUAUCAAAGAAAGUAGGAUUUUGUUCGCAUUCCUCACUAUUAGUCUUUCUAUUUUGUUGAUAAUUUGACAGUAACUAUCGACUUAGUUUAGUAUCCUCUCAGAUAGUAUAUGUGUGAUAUGAUACCAAAGUUAUGCGAAACAAAGAUUUUUAUACAGAAUUCAGUGUCUGCGAUAAAUAGUAACCUCACUAGUUCAAACGAAAAUCGCGGAUAAACAAAUUUUGGAUGAAUGAUAACAGCAGAAUCAUUCCUAUAUCAUUCACAAUCUUAACACCAACAUUGUCUUCGACUCAUCAAAGCAUCGCUAAGCUCCAGACAGGCCAAGAAAGAAAAAGAGAAAAACAGAUGGACUAGCACGCAUUCAUUACUCCAACUUCUCGAGUUCUGACAUCCUUUCGAUGAUCGCCUGCAAGUAAAAAAUUGUUCCCAGCAUUUAAAGGUUUAGUGGUUGAGCAAAGGAAUGUGUUAGUGCAAGAGGAAAGCUUGAAACCAAAAUUUAUACCCUUUUGCUUGUUUCUUGGAGCUCCCCAGCAAGAAUGAAUUCAUCGAGUAUCAGAUACACCUUUUAAUUGAAAUCACAGAGAAUUAGUAGCAAAUAUUAGAGUACAAACACAGAUCAUAUCUAAACACACAGAAGCAUCCACAUAGUUAGACACAAAUGGGAAAUGCUUUUGAGAAUGCUGCAGAUAUAUAUUUAUCUAACAGGUCAUGUUGGUCAGCUUAGAAUUGGGACAAAUACAAAGAGAAAAGAAUGAAACUAGCUUUUAAUUUUAGCAAACACAAGCUUUCAUUUGAUAGACCCUUAGAAUCUUCAUGGAUAAAAAUCUUCAGAUUCCCCUUAAAAACAUUUACACUAAACUUAUUUAAAGCUCCUAAGUAGAGAAAUGAUGAAGCAAAAAUCCCAGGUUUAAUCGAAAUCAGUGGUUAUACAGCAUCAUAAGCUAAACUUUAAGGGUUACAGGAUCCAAAGAAGCAGUUUUUGAGAACUAAAUAUAAAAAGAGUAAGAGCAACAAAAGAGGUUUGGUAACUUGUGGAAAUUAAACACCAAAUCUAGCUCACAGACAUUGCUGAAGAAAUGGUCCAAGAUCUCCACAAACAAAUGGAUACUCUCCAGGUAAGCCAACUCAUUGUCGGUUAUAUCCACGCACACAGAGAAAAACAAUCCAGCAUAACGCCUGUAUAUCACCUUGUGUGUUCUAAACUGAAAAUAGUUGCAGAAAACAGUUUUAUCAUUCUAGCUCACAGAACAAUAUUGGUUUCUUAAUCACAUUUUCAUGUCUCAUAAGACACAUAUCUACUUCUCUAUACAUAUAUUGAAUGAGUUGGGUUACUUCUACCUCAGCUUAUAAUAUCUCAAACAACAACUAAUACCUCAACCAGAGAAAAUUCGCAGAUUCGAAUUCGACAGAGCAAUGCUCCUAUACUGUGCUAGUAUCAACAGCCCUAAAUCUCAUAUACAAAACCUGAAUUAAGAAUCAUAUGCAUUCCUACAAUCUGGAGAACCCUAAUCUCAAUUGAGACUUUUAUGUUUAAGAUUGAAAACUUUUAAACCAAAAUCGGCUUUGUUGGUUUAAACCGAUCUUUCUAGAAUUUUAAGUUUUCGAUUUUGAACCAAACAUACGUAAAAAAGUCCGUCGAAAAUACAACUCCUUACUUGAAAUCCUACCGUUUUUGUUCAGCCUCCAUAACUCCAUAGAGAGAAAAACGAUUAUCUUAGCUUCUAUCAUGAUUACAAAUUUAUAUUUGAAUACAUUACUAUGUGUUCAGUUCAUCAUCUUAUAAUUUUUCUAUCAUGUUCGUGUAGUGCUUAUUUAGAAAGCAAGAUAAACAAUUCCUACAGCUUUGGCUAACCUUACUUCACCUUUUGAAUCAGUUAUAUUCUCUAAGUUUAUUUGUUUUAUUUUCAUUGGAAUAACUUUCUAAUUAUUACGUUUGCUAAUUAUUGAACAUGAUCUUAUAAAAGUCGCUACGUUGGGCUUGGAAAACAUGGAAAUAUCCUGUAAACUUAAAAUAUCAUGUGGCGCCAAUAAAUAAUUAUAUAAGUAUGUAGCUUGGAAAUCAUCAACAACUCUCAUUGAAUAACACAAAUCAGUAUGAAAGAGUUCGAUGUUAGGUCCGGUUUGUUUUCAACAUAUUUAAACUUUCAAAUUUUGUAUGUUAUAACUUUUCAAAAUUUGUAUGUUAUAACUUUUCAAAAUCAAAAAUUUACUUAAAAGUUAUAACUUUACUUAAAAUAUAAAAAACCUUAAACCUAAGCGUUAAAUUUUUUACAAUACGUGAUAGCAUGUUGAACUUACACACCACUGACGGACCAUAAAGGGACUGGAUGCUCGGCCCGAUUUGUUUUCAACGUAUUAAAAUUUAACACUUAGAUUCAACCAAAAAAAGAUCAUAUUUACUUAUUAAAAAUUAAAACUAUUUUUACUUGAAAUUUGAAUUAAAAAACCUUGAUAUUUUUAGUUGUAAAACAGGAAAAUAGAAAUGUAAUUCAUAAAAUAUUUUUUUCUUUAUGUAUCUUUUUAUAUCGAAAUCAAUUUUUCUUAAUUUAUUUAAUUUUUUAAAAGUUAGAAAAGUUGAGAUAUUACCUGUGAUAUUUAAGAAUCCUGAAGGCUACAGUGACUCAGACGGUGGUCGUUUCUGAAUUUUGCUAAUCGUAAUACAAAAACAAACCCAUCAGCGCAUUUCAUAAUUGUCAAAAACUCAAAUUACUUUGAUAAAACUAAAGACAACUAUCACGAACCUGCUUAUAAAUAUUCUCCUCUUCAGUAAUGGUCUCUAAUGACUGAAGAAAACAGAGGAUCAAUGGAGCUCAUCAUAAAGACAUUCAUCGAGCCUUGAGUCACCGUCGAACCUUCUCCACCCUGAAACAAAAGCAUAACAUUCAGUUCAAAACAAAGAGAUGAAUGAUAAAUAUGAUACGUGAAUCACAAGGCUAUAACAUGUUUGAUGAUGAACUAAAAAGUACACAAAAUGGCUUGCAUUUGCAUCAAUCCAAAAUCGUAUAUGCAUUUACACACACCUAUGAGAUUCAGUUCUUUAAGUUGCAGAGAGGUAGUAAUUAUUCUAUAUGUGGUCGAGAAGCAACAUGAGCUCAGUAGUAAUAAAAUAAAACAAUGUCAAUGGAAACUCGCAAAUCAAAUCAGUAUACCUCAGGUUAUGAAUGUAGUAAUGCUGAUACUACAUGAUCCUUCUUCUUUCUUGAUAAUUGUGAGGAAGUCCUCUUGAUCCAAAUCUUUAUGAACUAUAGAAAAACCUGCAAAGAAGAGAACAACAACAGAGAAGAACAUCAAUGACCAGCAAAGACAAUAUAUAUAUACUAGAAACUAAUAGGUCUGAAACAAACAAACCUCCUCCUAUCAAAAGGUCUGAAACUUCCUUGUCUACAGAUCAAUGGAUUUGUCAGAAAACCAUAGCUAACACUGUAACGCUCACAUACAAAUACAUAUAACUCUAACAGUUAAGCAACAGAGGAAUUCUAACACAGAAAUACACAAAAAAUCAUAUAAGAAGGAGACAGAGAGAACCACAAAUACUCAUUACAAAACCAAAGAGAGUAAUACGUGAAUCAUCAUAAGGCAAACAUUGGCUUCCAGAUUCAAUGAAGACACAAAUCGAAUCAAAACAACUGUAAUUCCAAAAGGCAAAAGAAUGAUGAUUGCUACAUAAUAAACUCCUAAAAAUUGGAUAAAAGUUCUCAACUUCUAAGACACAAGACCAUAUCCAGCACAGAGGAACAAGAAGAGAUAGAGCUGUACCUUGAAGGGUAAAGAGGAAGCAAGAGCACCACCAUGAGGACGAAGCAGAGGUUAGAUAGAUCCCAAAAACGAACCAGAAGAAGAGAGAUCAAAAGCCUCGAUCAUCACAACCAUGUCUCAAGCCUCAGCAUUCUAUGAUCGCCACUACGUCUCAAGCCUCAGCAUUCUAUGAUAGUUCUCAACUUCUAAGACACAAGACAUCUAAGACACAAGACACAAGACAUCUAACUCCUAAAAAUUGGAUAAAAGUUCUCAACUUGUAAGAGACAAGACAUCAACAACAAGACCAUAUGCAGACAGAGGAACAAGAAGAGAUAGAACGGUACCUUGAAGGUAAAAGAGGAAGCAAGUGCACCACCAUUAGGAGGAAGCAAAAGCAGAGGUUAGAUAGAUCCCAACACGAACCAGAAGAAGAGGAACCAAAAGCAGAGGUUAGAUCCCAAAGAGGAACCAAAAGCAGAGGUUAGAUCCCAAAGACGAACCAGAAGAAGAGGAACCAAAAGCAGAGGUUAGAUCCCAAAGACGAACCAGAAGGAGACGAACCAAAAGUCUGGAUCAUCGCCACCAUGUCUCAAGCCUCAGCAUUCUAUGAUCGCCCUGUUUGCAUAUCUCGAUCAUCAAACCGAAUCUCACAACAACAAAUUAACCAGAGAAAAGCUAUAAAGGUAGAAGCUUUACACCAACGAUGAAUCAGAGAUUCGAUGGCGAAGAGGGUUAUGCUUUGUUGUUCGACAAGAGAGAACGAACUAAGGAUAUUGAUUUGUUGAAGAGAAAGAAGAAGAAGUGAGAGAAACAGAGAAUUUUGAUUUCUCGAUCAAAAGGAAGAACGGAGAAGAAGAAAGUUUGAGAAGCUUUGAGUUGUUUAACAAAAAAGAAGAAGCUUUGAGUUGACAGAAAGAGUUUUUUUAAUUAAAAGAAAAGGAAACUGAUGAUAUCACAAUCACAACGGUUAUAUUAAUACCGAGAUUUUGUUUCUUUUAAAGUUUCUUCAUUACAACGGUAACAUUUUGAACUUGUUAAUUUUAAAAGAGAAUUUACUGAAAAACUAGGUUCGGACCCGCGGUACAACGCGGGGGAAAUAAUUACAUAUAUAUAACUUUUAUCAGAUUAAAAUAUGUUGCAUUUUAAUUUUGUUAGAGUGCAGUCGAUUACGGUAAAUCAUAUAUUUGUAUAAUAAGUUUAAAUAAAAUAAUAAAGGAAAAAGCGAGUAAAUAAUCAUAUACUGAGUUUUGAUACAAUUAAAAACACGGUGAAAAUUUAACAGCACGAAAUAAUAUUUGUCGAUAAAUUAUUCAUUUUGGCCAUUUUUGUAGUAAAGGUAGGAAUAUAUGUAAAAAUUACAUAUUUACAAUAUAUUUUUUGAAAGUCCAACCCGUAACAGAAUUCAUUUUGUAAAAAACAUUAUUCGUAACUCGUUUUAUCAUUAUAAUUGUGAUUUUAACAAUCUAGCCGUGAAUUAUCUAAAAUUUACAUAUUUUGAUAUAUAAUAUAUUUUAUCAAUAAAAAUUAUGUAUCCAAAAUUACAUUUAUAUCUUAAAAAAAAAUAUUUCUAUAUUUUAAACUAGGCAAGUUACCCGCGUUUCGCCGCGGUUAAGGGGAAGAAUAUAUACAUUUUAGAGACGAAUUGAUAUUAACAACAUUGUAGUAUUUGUAAUCAGUAAUCUUGUUUUUAAAUAUCUAGAUAUUUCAUUUGCUUUUUGUAUUUGAAAUUGCAACAAUGUUGUGAACCUAUUGCUCAUAAUGGAUAUGAUUUGGUUACGUCUUAUUCUGAAUUUUACAAUGUGCAUACAUGAACCAACUGUAUUAUAAUUUUCAAUAUAACAUGAAUACUAUAUCAUGAUCAAUAUUAAUAUGUAAUGACCAAACUGAAAAUGAUAAUUAAAAAAUUCGGCCAAUUUUUCAAAGAUCAACGAUGUAUUUGUAAAUGUUUAAAUAUCAAGAAUAUCAAGAAUAAACACAUAGUCGUUCUUACAUAGAAUCUCCGAUGAUUCAUUAUAUAUAACAAAAUCCAAACUGAAACAAAAUAUUGAUCCUAUUAAGGUUUCAAAACACAAAACAUCUAUACAUUAAUAAGCAGGCCAUGUUAUUCCUAUGCUAGAACUGCAUUGAAACCAUCUUGUAAUCAUUCCUCGGAAGAUACUCUGAAAUGGUAGUUUGCAGCAAAUUCAGAGCUACAAUUCAAAUAUCCAAGUUAGUUAGAAUCUAUAUAAAAUAAAAAACAAUGGGACAACCAUAUGCCUAAAAGAAAACGUAUAAACUUACCUUAUCUUGUGGUUUUCUAGACCAGUAUUGGUUGGGUUAAGAAAUGUCCUUGAAGCUCCACUAUCACCUUCAUCAUCAUUAGUAAUACAGGGCUUACCUAAACAAAGUAAACAACAAAGGAAAUUAUAAUAUUUUCUAAUCCGUCUAUUGUAAAAUCUCAAACAUUCAAAUAGAACUACAAACAUUCAAAUAGAACUAAACUCUCUUUACCGUGAUAUGUAGAUACUCUCCAAAAUCGAAGGACACAAAACACCGGGUGUGUUUUGUAAGUGAUAUUGUAACCCUUUGACCUCCACUCCCUUAAGAAGUUAUGAGCACCUAGUCCUCUAAUAUGACAACUAAUUCUUUCAUUCCUGUUACAGUACAUUGUAUAUAAUUAGGCAAAUUUAUAAGCAUGCUUUCCAAUAUAAAAUAUAACUAAGCAUAAGUAACGUUUACUAAAUUAACUUCCAUUAAUCAUUUGGAAAACCAAGCCGUUGACUCUAUAAGGAUUCCCAUACUCAUCCAUUUUACUAUCCUCUUCUUUCAAUUCACCAACAUCAAUUAUAGAUCCGUAGAAAUCUAACAUGGAGUAAAUAUAGACAAAAUGCUUAGAAUAGAUAGAUAUUUCAUAUGGUUCAAAAUAUGAUAAUUUAAACUUGAUUCAGAACACUUACCAUAGGAAUUAUCCACAGGAACGAUUUCUUUUAAAACAUGCGAGAAAUCUUCAAAGUGAUAGUAUUCUUUGGAAGACAGAGGAGCUAUGCGCAUCAUACUUGUCUUCUCAUCAACCUUGAUCUGGUACGUAUGGUUGGUGUUUCUUUCUGGCAACACAGGCUUUAUAACUCUAAAAUCUUUGAUGGAAUACCAUACCCCUUCGUAAACAUGUUUAGGGAUAUUCUUCUCAGAAUGUUUUAACACAUAAGUAGCUUCAAUCCUGUCACCCUAUAUUAAGAUUUAAGAGCAAACUAAUCGACUUAAACUAAAGCAUUAGAACUCAAAAUUGACCGAUUACUACACAAUUGAACAUAAGGGAAGUUUAACAUAUGUUUAUUGAAAAUUUAGAAACAUAAAUUACCUUUUCAUCGGCAAGGAUUAAAACCCUUUUCAUGAAGAAAUCCCUUCGAUAGGCAAUAGACAAUAUUUUCGCUUCUAUGUUCCAAUUAGUUCUUGAAGGAUUCAAAUCGGCAACGGAAUCUGUUCGCAUGAUUUCUAAAUUAUAAAUUUCUGUUUUCGUUGGAAGAAUUGUGAAGAAGAUGAUAGGCGGUGUGUUUGAUCUUUCGGAUUCCAAAUGAAAAUAGAUUUAGUUUAGGUAAAAAAAUAAAAGUCCAUUAGACGCUUAUAAAUUGUAAAUAGUGGUAAGUUGCGUCGUUUGGAUUUUCACAUUAACAUUUUUAAAAAAAAACACUAAUAUUUCGUUUGGACAUGUAAGAUAUUUUUAAAAGAAUCAAAUGUUAUAGAAUCGAAUGUUUUAACUGUUAUUUACUAUAAGUAUGUUAUUCUUUUUAUAUUUUAAGUGGUACAUAUAAUUAGAGUCUAUAAAACCCUUAAACCCCAAACUGAACAAAACACAUUAUUUAGUGAUAAAUGUAAAAUUCCUAACAAAUAGUAGGGUUUGAAACAAAAUUUGGUUUAUGAUUUAUACUCACGAGAUUUAAACCCGAUGGGUUGGUUAUCUUCUGAUGACAUGGUUUAUGAUUAUACUCACGAUAUUAGAACUUAUUCUGAAUGAAAUUAAUAUUCUAUUUGAAUAUUUAUGCUAAUAAUGUAAAUUAAAUAAGCUAUUUUGAGAUAUCCACAUCUGUAAAUAGGAACAAAUUGGCUUGGUUGGCUUGAUAAUAAGAAUUAAAAUUUACAAUAGACCAAUAUUAAAGUCUGAAAGCAUAAAACAUUUUAAGUGGAUACAUAAUAAAUUGAUUCCGUGCAUGGUAAGGUAAACACUUGGAAGUGAUACUUCAAGAUCAAGCUUUAUUUUCAGCAAAAUUUCACUAAAUAAUUUAUUUGGUUCAUGAUUUCUAGGAACUUCGAAGAUAACCACCAUUCAUUUGGUCCCAUAAAUAACGUACGCACAAGUAGUACCAGUUUUGGAUAUAACUUUAUACUCAAAGCACCUAUAAGUAUGAUAAUUCCUAUUUUUUGCUCACAAUCUUCUUUUGUAUAUAAAAUUGUUCCCUUCUAUUCUAAUUUUUUGAAUCCGCCUAUAUGAACCAAUUGUAUUAUGAUUUUCACAAUGAUCAAAUAUAAAUGAAUUUUAUAUUUAUGAUUGAAAGUAAUACAUAUAAAUUGUGCUUGAGUAGAUGACAUAAUUUAUAUAAUUCUUAAAACUUUUAAGUUAUAUUAGUAUAUAUAAAGUAAUACGUAGAACAACCGUUUAGGUAAAAACUGAAACUGGGACAAUGUGUUUCACAUGAAACUAUGAAAUAAAAUUACAACUAAUCAAAAAAUGAUCCAACAGACCAGUUGAUUUCUAUGUUACUGUUGCAUGGCUUGGAUCUUCUUCUCCGUACUUAGUAGUCUUGUUGAAAUGAUAAGAUGCAGCAAAUUCAGAGCUACAAAAUUUAAUAUUUUACAUUGUUAAGAUUAUAUAUAAGAGAAGCAACAUAUUGACAAAUAUUGGCAAUGGACAGCAUAUUAGAAUUUACCUUGUUCUGUGGUGUUGAAGUCCAGGAUUGUCUGGAUUUAAAACUGUCCUUGAAAAUCCGCAAUAAUCUUCCGCAUCAUUGGUAAUACACGGCUUUCCUAAGAUGUAACAUGUAGAAUGAAUCGGGUUCUAGUUCUUUAUCUGUUCUAUAGAUUCAGGUCCAUAUCAUAUGUAUAGAACUAAAUAUGGUUGUUACCUUGAAAUGAUGACAAUCUCCAAAACCUGAGAACACAAAAGACUGGGUUAACUUUGAAUGUGGUAUUGUAACCCUUUGAUGUCCAUUCGGUUAAGAACUUGUCAGCACUGUAUCCUCUUAAAUGACAUAAGAGAUGUUCAUCCCUAUAACAGGAAACACUCUAUAACUAUUCCAAAAUAAAAGCAAACAAAUCAAUGAGGAUUGAACAUAAUUUUAGCAAUGUUUAGCAAUUUACCUUCCAUUUAUAAGCUUGAAAACCAGAGAAUUGACACCAUAAGUAUUACCAUAAUCAUCCUCCUUUAUAAACUCUUCUUUUAUGGGACCAACAUCAAUAACCGAACCAUAGAAAUCUAGCAUGACUCGAAAUAAGACAAACUUUGUUAAAAUUGAUUAAUUUAAACUUACUUAAAUCAUUACAACAUGUACUAAAAGUAGAACAAACUUACCAUAAGAAUUAUUGAGUGGGAUGACUCCAUUGAAAACAUGAUUAAAAUCUUCAAAUCGGUAGUAAUCUCUGGUGGACAGAGUACCUAGGAUCAUCAUGUCCGUCUUCUCAAAAAAUUUUAUCUGGUACUGAUGGUUGGUAUUCCGUUCUGGCAACACUGGCUUGAUGACCUUGAAAUCUCGAAUGUUAUACCAUUCCCCAUCAUAAAUAUGUUUAGGUACAGGGUGUUUGAAAUUUUGAUAGCAUAUAGAAGCCUCAAUCCGAUCACCCUACAAUCAAAUUUCAGUGGUUCAUCAAUUGCUACAUGUAAAUCAAUCAAUUUAACGUAAUAAGCAGUUCAGGUGAUCAAUAUGUUAUAGAGUUCUUAAGACUUGCGUUUAGCUCAAUUACAUUUAUAUGAAGACUUGCUAUAUGUAAAUCAUUUUAGAAAUCGAUUCAAUGACUAUAUGUAAGUCACAAACAAUUUCUAUAUGUAAGUUUUAUAGAAAAUUACCCUUUGAUCAGCAAGGAUUAGGACCCUUUUCAUCAUAAACCCUCUCUUGUAAGAAAGACUCAAUAUCUUCACGUCUAUGUUCCAAUCAGUCCUCGAUGGAUUCAAAUUGGCUAUGCAAUCUCUCGGCAUCUCGAAACGCCUUGUAGAAUAUCGUGAUUCCGUUUGAAGAAAAGUGUUGAAGUAGAGUAUCGGUGUUUAAGGGUUUAAUCGGUUUCAAUUGUGCCAAAUAGAUUCAGAGUUGGAAGAAGAUGAAAAGUCUAUUGGUGAAACAAUAUUUAUAAUCAAAAAUCGAAAUGGUGCGUCGUUUAAGUUAUGCANNNNNNNNNNNNNNNNNNNNNNNNNNNNNNNNNNNNNNNNNNNNNNNNNNNNNNNNNNNNNNNNNNNNNNNNNNNNNNNNNNNNNNNNNNNNNNNNNNNNUAAUAAAUUAGAUUUAAUUAAUUUUAUUAUUUUUGAUAAAACAUUUGGACAUUAAAGAAUUUUUAACACUAACCAAAAUUUACAUAUGUAUACCCUACAUUUAAACCAUCUGUUAAUUGAAAACAAAUUUUAAUUUAGCUAAUAGAUAAGAUCUAGGACUAAGUAUCAAUUUUUAAAAGCAAAAACCAAUAGUUUAUUAGAUUUAAAAUUUUAAACAACAACAAAGUAAAUGCAAUAGCAUUCUUAUUGGAGAUUCAAAACAAAAGUAAUAUGUAAAGAGUAUACAUAAGAGGAUUUGGUGUGUCUUGCCAACCAAGACAUCUAUUGGGUCUGGUAUGUCUUGGAUUUGUUUAUCUAUAAUGAAAAAUAGCUGAAUCGACUAAUCAUUAGGAACACGGCUCCGCGACUAUAACUAUUAGAGAAGCUAUUUAGAAUAUCAUUAACUUGAUUCGUUUGUAAAUUGAAAAAAUUGACUAUAUAAAGCGUACUUAUUCAGAUCUGCAACCAAAAAAGUGCAUCCAUAUAACUUUCGAGACGAAUUAAUAUUAACAACAUUGUAUAAUUUUUAAUUAGUAAUUUUGUUUUUAAUUAGUAAUUUCUAGAUAUUUCAUCUGCUUUUAAUUAGUAAUCUUGUUUAUAAUUAGUAAUUUCUAGAUGUUUCAUUUACUUUUUGUAAUUUAAACUGCAAUAAAGUUGCGAAUCUAUUUUUGUUUAUGGAUAUGAUUUAGUUACGUCUUAUUCUGAAAUUUACAAUAUGCAUACAUGAACCAACUGUAUUAUGAGUUUCAAUAUAACAUGUAUACUAUAUUAUGAUUUUGAUCAGUAAAUUCACUAAGUUUAAUCGUUUUAAAGUUUACCAUAUUAACUAUAUAAGGAAAAUUAUUGAAGAGUGUAACCAAAAAACGGUUGCAUGAUAAUACUUAUUUUUCAUGAAAAAUAAACACGUAAAUCUGAUGAUGCAACAAAUUGGUAUGUAAUUAAAUGUUAUCAAAGAUUUCUUUAAAGACUACGUUAAGGGUCUUGUUCUGACAUUCACCGUCUUCAUUAGUUAUCAAAAUCUUCAAUCCAUUUCUCGUCGUCACUCUAGAUAAUGCAACAUAUAGCUGUCCAUGUGUAAAGACUGGUUUUGGUAAAAACAAUCCAACGUAUUCCAGCGUCUGACCUUGGCUUUUGUUAAUAGUAAUCGCAUACGCAAGAGUCACAGGAAACUGACGACGCCUCAUACGGAAAGGAAACUUUGCAUCUGGCGGAGACACAAACAUUCUAGGGAUAAGUACUUUUUCGUUUACACUGUUACCUGUUACUAUCCUUGCCUCUAUAACAUGAUCAGCCAUUUGAGUAACAAUCAACCUUAUACCAUUGCACAAACCACCUUUAGGAUCUAUAUUCCUUAGCAACAUGAUAUGGGCUUCUUUCUUCAAUGUUAAUUCAUGCUUAGGCAAUCCUGAGACGUUGAUACUAUUUAAAAAUUCCUGCGAGUAGACCAUAUCGUCGAAAACACUUGUAUCCGACGUUUCAAUGGAAUCUGAACUAAAAUAACGUCUUUCUUCACCUAUGAUAUAGUUAAAUAUGUAAAAGAGACAUGCAAUUUAGUAAACUUAUUUUAUUACCAAAAAGCAUAAUAUUAGAUACACGUAAACAAUUAUAAUGCAUACCUGGUAGUUGAGAAAGCAUAUAUUGAUUGAUUUUAUCAACAUCUUCGUUCCUUGGACUAAGAAUUGCUCUUCGCCUAAAGAAUUUUGGAUCCUUCUCUUUAGCAAAAGAAUUACCAUAGAUUUCCUUAACAAUUGCUUGAAUAGGUUCCUCAGCUGCUGUUAUCAAUAAAUCUUCAGGUAUUUCUAUUUCGACCUCACCAUCGUUUGGCUCAUUGAUUUUACCAUCACCAAUAUCGAGCAACCACCUUGAGAACUCGGCGAGAGCAACAGAUUGCUCGUUAUUAACGCCUUCUCGUAAGCGCAUAUUUUGUGUAAGCUUUAAAACUUUACAGCUUUGCCAAAGCAAUGAUGAGUUUAUAGACGCCAACACAGUUGCGACCCUUCCACCCUCAGGAAUUACUGGGAGAAUCUGUCUAAAAUCACCUCCCAAAACUACGACCUUACCUCCAAAAAUCCUAUUGCACUUCAUAAUAUCUUGCAAAGUCCUAUCCAAAGUUUCAAAACAAAGUCUGUUCAUCAUCGGUGCCUCGUCCCAUAUAAUGAGUUUCGCUUCUCUUAUCAAUUCUGCAAGAUCGGACUCUGCAUCUAUCGAGCACAUUGAAUAUUCGUUUAUAUUGAUAGGUAUACCAAACCUAGAAUGAGCUGUCCUACCACCUUCCAAUAGCAAAGCAGCGAUUCCACUUGAUGCAACAUUUAGAACGAUAUUACCUUUAGAUCGAAUGUCAGCUCCAAGGAUACUCCACAAGAAAGUUUUUCCAGUACCACCGAAUCCAUGCACAAAAAACAUUCCACCCUUGUUUUUAUUUACCGAGUCGAUUAUUUCUUGGUAAACACGUCUUUGCUCUUCAGUUAACAUACCAAACAGUCUGUUGUAAUCUUUCUUUUGUUCAUGACGCUUAUAAUUUUUCUCAUCCAUAAUAAGCCGAUUUUCAUUUGAAUUUAUCACACUAUCGUCUGGUCUUGGCAUAUUAGUAAAAACGGAAAGAGAAGUGCCAUUCGAACGCAUAAGCAAUUCGAUUUCCGACAAACAUAUGUUCCGUAUUUGAUCUUGUGUUAACAUAAGACCUGCAUAUCAAUUUGUAUAAUAGAAUUAAGAAUAUUUUUACCAAAUAUGACAAAAAACUCGUAAAAAUUCAUACAUGAAAAAAUAGAACAAACAUUUUUAAUUAAUUUGAUAAUUUUGCAUAAUACUAAUAAUAAUAAAGAUUCCGAUGUACCUUGAUCAUUCAUGCGAUUCCUAUGGAGAAAUAAAAUAUCUUCGCAUAGUAUAUCUCUUGUCGCGAGCCAAAGAUUUAACGGAACAGAUACACUCUUCGAAAUCAAUAGUAUCACAAAUAGCUUCCUUAAGUACUUGCCAAGACACCAGAAACUUGCUUCCUUUAUAGCUGAAAUAUAUUCUUUGUCAUCAUCCAAUAAUCCUAAUGCAUAGCAAGCAUCUUUAAAUUCUCCGUAAAGAACUCCGUUAACCGUUUUCAAGAAUUCGAAACUGGUUGCACCUGGUAUUUUAUUAAGCAAAUCUCUUAAGUAGUAAGCAUCCCCUGUAGAAGGUGGUACGUACGUAAUCCUUCCUAUUGAAAAACUUUUUCUUUUCCUUGAUCUCCGCUUCCAAAUUUUUUCUUUUUUAUACCAUGCAUAAGCGGUCGGAAAUUCAGCAUACGUUAACUUUCUAGCUUCAGGGUCAAUUCUAUUGCAUUCCAUCCAUGCUAAGAAUUUGCUUCCUCCAUUUGUUGAACGUGACAUAACAUUUUCUAUAGGAUCAUCCUUGUUAUAAAUAACCAAUUGCUGGCCAGGAAGAUGGAAGGGCAAUUUUUCAACAGGUGUUGUACGAUAACAUAUCGGGGACGCUAAUAUUCUCCACGUAGCUUCGCAUGCUGAUACAUAUCUACAGAAACGAAUGAUUAAAGUAUGUUAAUGUUACUUUGAACAACAUGUAUCACAGUUAUAAUUUUACUAUAAAUACCUGCAGUUAAAAUAUUGUUUGAUUUCAUUUUCUUCAUCCUCUUCUCCUACUGAUGCUCUAAUAUAAUCUGGACCUUUGCUGAUAUAUUUGAACAGAUAUUUUAUUGACCGUGACUGGUUACACCACUCUACAUUUAUGUGAGCACGAUAACGAAUCGACAAUUCACGAUUAUACGGAAUAACGUAUCUGUUGUCACAGUCGAAACCUUUCUUAUGCACAAUUCUUCCAUCAUCUCUCCGCCUGUAUACUGGAUAACCAGCAUCAUCUAUCACAGUAUUUUCUACGUAUGGUUUUGGAAAGAACUUUGUGCACUUACCAUCCUUCAUGCAAGGACUAUCGUUGUGUUGACGUCCACAAGGUACAUGAAUCAUAACAUCAGAAACAACUUCAUAUAAAUACUUGUCCACUUCUUUGUCCGGUAUUUCGGCACUUAUGAAUUUAUCUAUGUCGUCCGUUGUGCGCAUUUUAAAAUCCGGAUGCAAAAAUAAAACCAUGUGCGCAUGUGGUAGUCCCCUUUUUUGGAAUUCUAUUGUAUACAUAGCUGCGUAAAAAUCAAAACGGCAACGUAACUAUAUUUAUAUUUGUAUAAUAUUAUUAAAAAAUGUAUAUGAAAAUAAGAUACGUACCAGAAUUCAUCGUACCGAAAGUUUUCUCUUUGGUGACUUGAUGCAUGAGCUUAUCUAAUUUCAUCUUAAAAACCCGGCAACAAAUAUCUGGUCUAUCCUCUUGUUUAAGACGAUGUCUAGUAAUAUAACGCACAACUUCAGGCCACUUAGGAUUGCAAGUUAUCGUUAUAAAAAGGUCGGGAAAACCAAAGAAUUUGCAAGUGGCCAUUGCAUCUAAAUAAUGCUGCAUCAUAUACCGUUUUCCUCCAGUAAACGACGAAGGUAUGUAAAUCCUUUUCCCAUGCUCUGAAAGAUCAGUACGUCCUUUAUCAGCAGCUUCGAGUAUCUUAUCUAUUCUUUCUGUCCGAAGUUUUUUUUGGUUCAUCCAAAUAUAAUUUAAUCUGUUUGAUUCUAUAGUCGUGAAGGCAUCCACUAAGAACUGCUGGAAUAAUUUUCCGGACAUGACAAUCGUAGAAGCUUCUCCAUAUCUCUCUAAAAUUCGAUAAGCAUAAAACUCUCUCAUGCUCACGGUUUUCCUUUUCCGUCCAGCAGUAUCUAUAAAACCUAUGUCAAUCCCUAACCGGUAACCGUCCUCUCCAUAUGGAAACAACAAAGGAUAUUGUAAAGGUAAAUAUGCCGGAUGAAGCUCGCUUAUUCUUUGUAAAUUGCCUGAACGACCUUCUAUAACAAUAUCACGCUUAUUCUCACCGCAAUUAAAAUCACCUGGAAUUAAAGCAGCCACCUCAUUGCAGGUAGGUAAAUUAUGAGUUCUCGCAUCAGAAGCUCUAUCCGAAGGCAAACGUAAUUUUAAAUCUUCAACACCGCAAUCCAUAUCGAAUCUCUCUCUUGCUGACCUAAAAGCCCGGACGUGUGGAUUAUGAUUAUCAAGCAUCUUCUUGAUUAGCUCUACAGUGUCAGGCCUCAAAUUUUCAGUCGAUCCAGAUCUUCUAUAAAAACACAAAAAAUAUGAAUUAUUUUUUAUUUUUAUUAGAAAAUUAAAUCGAAACAUUAUACAAAAUAACACAAAGAUGUUAUUAUUACCCGUAUGCACUUAUUCUAUUAGAAACCUCAUUCUGUAUAUCAUGAAUAUAUAGUUGUAAGAACAUAGGUGUUUUCCCCGGUUCUGGCAAAAUAUCACCAAUACGAUGAUAGUUUUCUCCACACAUUUGAAACAGAUAUGGUCCAGCACCAUCAUUAAUAGAAUGGUUAACCUUGCCCCCUAAAGAUGUGAACGAAAAAAUCAUAUUGUAUGCUCUUAUAUUAUCACGAAAGUUGAUACUCCUAUCAUCGUGAUUAUAGAACAACGAUGACAACGUUUUCGGUGGAGGUUUAAGUAAAGGGAGCUUAAUUUUUCCGUGACGACAACACAUUGAAAAAAUUGGCUUUCCUUUUUUGGAUUUUUUAUUCACACGCUCUCCAAACCACAUAUAGGCUCCACAAUUCUCACAGAUAUAAAACGGAUCUCCAUCAUCGUAAUACCCUGCGCAAAGUUUUAAUACAUAAGCAUUGUUGAUAUUGUUAGUGAUUUACAGAUUAUUGUUAUUAUUAUUAUUAGUGAUAGUAAUUCAAUAAGAAUACUAAAAGUGGAAACUAAACGAACCGUUCUCUUGUAAUCCAGCUCUUACAGCCGUAAAUCCGCCGAUUACAUUAUUAGACAUUGUAUUAUCAUCACCAUAUUCGGUCUCAGACUCGUCGGUAGACAUAUCAUUCUCGCUUCCUCUAUUUGACUCCGAAUCAGUAGCAAUAUAACAUACAAAAUCUUCUUGUAAUCCAGGUAGUAGCAAAGUUUCUAUAGAAUGACCAAUAAUUGGUUAGCAUAUUGAUGCAUAUUAUAAUUUAAUGAGUAGGUAUUCUACUCACUUGAACUUUAUUUAAUUAAAGAUAAUGUUACCUUGGUUAUCCUUCUCCGUUUUCCGGGAUCUCAAAACACGCAUUCUAUUCAUCCUUUCGAUUUGACCUACGUUAUUGUGUGUGAUGUCUCCGAACUGGUGAUGUAUAGAUCUAGCUAUAGAGACAUCUGUUAUAGUUUUAAAUUUAAAAACUGGUAACUAUGUUUCGAAUUAACACAUGAAUCAUAAAGAUUAGAAAUUUGCAAAUAUCAUCGUUGUAUAAUUCUUAUUUUGUUUAUAGAUUUCAAAGAUGUAGUUACUCUUUAUUGUCGAACCAUGAGAUACAUCUUUCUUUCUACGGAAUGGAAGCUUUGUAGGUCUCGUUAUGGAGACAUCUUCAAUAGGUUUAAAAACUGGGUAACUAUGUCGAGUGUUAAGACCUGAAUUAUAAAAAUUAGAAAUUUAAAUAUCAUAGUUCUAUAAUUAUGAAUUUUUUAUAACAGUUUCAAAGAUAGAGUUAUUCUUUUUAGGCAUACCAUGAGGUGCAUCUUUCUUCCUCCGAUACGGAAGCUUUUCAGGUCUCAUCGUAUUUGUCUACGUGUAACGACCUGCAAACAAAUUUUAAAAACACCGUAAAUAAUUAUGCUACAAUAAUUAUGUUUAGGUUUAAAACUGGACGAUAGGUUUUAAUAAAUUGUGUAUCUAAUAUAUAACCUCAGGAUGAGGAGAAUCUAUUAUGUGAAAAUUAGCGAUUUCAUGCUUAUCAUAUUAUCGUUUGUAUUGAUCUUAUAAUUUAUUUAAAUUAUUAAUUAACAAAAUUUGUAUAUUUCCAUUUAGUUAUUAUUAUUAUUAUUAUUUACAUUUUAAUGAUCCUUUAAAUUAGAAAUUUUGCCUAUUGUGAUAAACACAAUUGAGUAUUAGUAAUAUAUAUUACUUUUAUUGUCACACCAAACAGUUUCCUAUAACUAUAAAAAUUUAAGAGAUAUUAAGCAUUUAUGGAAUAUUUCUAAUAUCUUACUUGUAUUGUCACACCAAACAUUUUUCUAUAUUAAGGGUAAAUUAGUAACUUCUAAAGUGUAUAUAUUCUUACUUGUAUCGUCUUAUUAAACAUUAAAAUAUUCAUAAUACUUUGUUUAACAUUUUCAUUUUUGCACCAUUAGUUUAUAAUAAUAUUAUGAUAUUUCAAUAUAUCUUCUAAUAAUAUAAACCUAAUACUAAUCAUUAUUAUAUAUAAUAAUAUAGUUUGCGUAAAACCAUAUAAUUCAAUCAAUAUUUAAAGCUUAGAAAGUUUGUAAAAUCCAAGAUAAUAAAGCAUAAUGACCGGAAACAUCGAAUGUUUGAAUACCACAGUAAAUAAUAAAACAAUACUAUGUUGGUUUUUCGGUUUUGAUCUUCUUCCUUGUAAUCAUAUAAUGACUAUUCGCGGAGUCGCCACUCUUUCGAGAAGUUCUCUUCUUCGACGAAGAUGUAACCGAAUCAGCCGAAGAACUUUCGUCUAUUCCAUCGGUAAUUUCCAGAAUCCGAGGAUUGACAUCGACAUUUCCAUAGCUCUCCUAUAAGUCACAACAAUCACCAUGAAUAUAUUACAUAAAAAGACUCUCGUUAACACAAAAUAGCUAAUAUUAAUAUUCGUAACAUUAUACCUUUACAAAUUGUACUAUCAUAUCUUCUUUUCCCCAAAAUUUUUCAACAACAUAAGCAGAUUUGGAACUCUUCAAAUUGUCAUUUGUGAUUGAAACCUUGAACAACAUAGUUUUUCCAAUAAAAGAAGAAAUAGCAAUGGGAAUGCUCGAAGGAUCAUCCUGAAAUAUAUGAAUCAAUUGGUUAAACACCGUUUAUGACAUUCAAUAUGAACAUGAAUGUUUAGAAUUUUACCUCAGCUAACUGUGCAACCAAUUCAUCAGCCUUUUUUCCAAUUAGUAGUUGAGACAGACCAUCAAAGAAAAGCAGUCUAAUACUUGGAGAACUUCCAUAUGAGACAUGUAAUAUCAAUUUAAACCUAAUUUUUGAAAACAAAAAACAUAACUCAAUGAUCUUACUUCGCAGCGUUUUCAUACGUCAUAAGAUUAUAAAGCACAAUCUAAAUGAGUGUUUCUUACUUGCAAUCAACUUCUGUAACAUCUUUAUCGCAAACACCACAGCUGUAUAAUCGUUCUUUUCCGACUUGAGAAUCUAACGGGUAUGGCUGAACUUUUUUAUUACAGGCUUUGCAAGCAAUGUAAUACCAUUUAGGCAGUGCCUCUACGGAAAUAAUUUUUGCAAUUGUAACACAUGUACGCACCUGAAUAUAAACACACGUUUAAUCAUUAAAUAUAUCUUUUUAUUGACGCAUGUAAUUAAAAAAUACCUCUAGUGCAUAAAGUAUGUCGUCUAUUGUCAUCUUUUCAUUGAAUACGAAGAACUCUUCAUAUAGCGUGACCUUUGGAAGUUCAUUUUUAGGCUCAUUAUUAAUCUGAACUAAAUCGACGACCUCGGAUGGCAACCUGUCAAAAAUAAAUAUUCUAAUAAGUAAAUUUAUGUAUACUAAUAACACCUCUGAUAAUCAUGCAAAUUUAAAUUAUCUGAAAGUUUUGACAUUUUAGUAAACUUCUCCACUUCUGUGAUAUUUGGGUUGAACAAAACAUCUGUUGAACCGAAAGAGUUGGAUAUGCUAAAAACUCCUGAAAUUUGAAAAUCGUUUUAAUACGUAAUCGUGAUAAAUAUUGAAAGCAAUUUCUCAUGUACAAUCAAAAUUACCUCUCCACUCCUUAAUGCAUGCAAAUCGAAUAACGCAUACGACGACAGAUUCAUCAUGUUCUUUUAUCGAACCUUCAAAAUUUCUAGCAACAUCACCCCACAGCGUGCAAUUUAACUUUGUACCCCUAUAUAAUAAAAAAAUAGUGAGCUCCUUUUUUGUAAUAAUAAAUAUACUAAUAAUUUACUCUAUAAAUUUCUAAAUUUUAAAAUAUAUUAAUUAUAUACUUUAUACUUUAAAAUAAAAUAAAACCAUACUUCAGAUCUUGCAAUUCGAAAGCUAGUUUCACAUUAUCCUUCCCUUUAGUUUUGAUACUCUCAAGACAGUCGACGUUAACAAUCUGGCCAAUUACAUCUACAUAAACAAUAAAAAAUUAUUACGAUUAGAAAAUUUGUACCUAUUUAUUUACUUAAAAGAGUAUAUAUUACGAAUUUGACAACUCACCGAUCAACAAAUGUCUUUCUGCUUUUCCGGCCAAAAUAUCAGAAAACUCUCGGAAAUAUUUUUCAGGAAUUUUAGUUGGAAAAUCAUCAAACGGUUUGACCGUAGUAGUUCUAUAGAACAACAUCUUAAAACCUAAUGAACUUGUUCUGUAAUCACCAUCAUAAUCAACUAAACCGAAUGUGUCUAUUUGUAACGCCCGUGUCUGGAAAUCCGGGUGGUGUCAAUCGACACUGUGGUUGGGUGUCGAUCGACACUAGUAUUUCUGGUUUGACGGUUUAAGUUUUAAAUCGUCGGUUCAAUUGAGGCUUGGUUUGGGUUGGUUAACCCUAGGUCGUGUUUAAAAGAGGGAAGGUCGUGUGUUGUCUCUUCCCAGCCGCUUUUUAACACUUCCAGAGAGAGAAAAAGGUUCUAGAGCUUUUGAGGGUUUUUGUGAGUCUUUGGUGGUGUUUGGUGGUGUUCCUGGUGGUUUAAGGCUAGUAGAGGCUAGAUCAGUGUUGUGUGGUGUUAGAGGAGACAGAUCCUUCCUUGUUCUUCCUUGUUUUCGUUGCUGUUCUUCUUGUUAAAGAGGUGAGUGCAUGACCAGGCUUAUCUAAGCAUGUUUGAUCAUUGUUUCAGGGUUUUGAUGAUUGAUUGAUUGAUUUCCUUUGCUUGUUUAGCUGUUUAUUUGAUGAUUGAUGCAUGUGGAAUCCUUUGGAGACUCGUUCUUAUCGUGGUGGUCUUUUGGAGAAGAGAUCCAGUGAGAAAAGCAGUUGGAGCGUCUGCUGAGAGUCGGUGUCGAUCGACACCAACGUUUCAUCGCGUGAGGAUAACUGCGUCUUACGAUUGGAGUGUCGAGACCGGUGUCGUCCGCGAGGGUCGAUAGCGAGUGUCGAUCGACACCAGUGGAGGGUGUCGAUCGACACUGAUAGUCAGAAGCGAUUCUGGUCUAUCUUUUAUUGGUUGUUUGGUUCUUUUCCUUGGAUUUUGGUUGAAUGUGCUUGUGUGUAUAGCCAGUGGUGGUAUGAUUGCCUCACUAAGUAUUUAUGAAAUACUUAUGCAUCUCUUUCUUUGAUGCAGGUAAAAGCAAAGUGUGAUCCGUGUAAUCAUGGCGAGAAGAGGAGGAUGAUAUAGGCGCUCAUUGGUGUUUAGAUGAUUGUAUGAUUUGUUAGGAUGCUAGAAUGGAAUUUAGAAGCAUGUUAGGAUGAAUUCGUUUCUGGAAUAUUGAUAGUUGAACUUGUUGGAUUAAUGAAAUGGUUUGAUUGGAUUUUUGUUUAAGUCUUCCGCUGGUUACGUUGAGUUGGUUGUGUUAGUAAAAUUGUCUGGGUUGCUUUAAAGGGGUUAAUCCGGAUUGUUUGCAUGUUUAAAAGAAAAAAAAAACGGGAUGGGUUCUUUCAAUUUGGUAUCAGAGCAUUUACGGUUCUAGUACGAGAUUUAAUUGGUAAAAAUUGUGAUGUGAUGUGUGAAUUUCAUUGAUGAGGAAUGAUGAUGUGGAUUGCAUGCUUAAUGAUUGUGUGUGUAAUCAAUUGUGUGAGCAUUGAGACCUAGAUCAUCCUCUCGAGCAUUCAAUGAGAUUCCACGGUAAGUGUGUUGUUUGGUGAUUUGUUUGGUGUUCUUAGCCUUCUGUUGUGUUGCAGAUGGUUAGAGGUGGAGCUGUCGGUCGUGGUCGUGGUCGUGGUCGUGGGCGUGGUCGCGGUGGGGGGCGUGGUGUUGCCUCGGAUAGCGACACGAGUGUGGGCCGAAGUGCUACGGCCGAUGUUGUUAGUGAGUACCAGACGCAUCAGGACGGGCACGUGGGUGGUGAGAGUGUGAGUGCCGUGAGAGCCGGUUCGUCCCUGAACGGUACUAGUGUUGUUGGGAACCCGGUCGGGGGUGUUCCAACAGGUGAAGCCCAGGGUCAGAAUGAUCGGCUUGCGGAUUUACUGACGCAUCUCUUGGAGCGGUUACCGGGUGCGGUACCGCCGGUGCAGGCUCCUCUUGGGCCUGGUGUGCAGGCUCCUCUUGUACCUGGUGUGCAGGCUCCUCUUGGACCUGGUGUGCAGGCUCAUCUUGGGCCUGGUGUGCAGGCUCCUCUUGGGCCUGGUGUGCAGCCUGUUGUUGGGGUUGUACCGCCUGGGGAGGUAGGUGCGGUGGUCGAGCAGCCGUACUACNNNNNNNNNNNNNNNNNNNNNNNNNNNNNNNNNNNNNNNNNNNNNNNNNNNNNNNNNNNNNNNNNNNNNNNNNNNNNNNNNNNNNNNNNNNNNNNNNNNNGCAGCGGUUCGGGAUGUCCUUGUUCUUCGGAGGUUCCGACCCGGCUGUAGCGGAUGAGUGGCGGGUGAGAUUGGAGCGGUAUUUCCAGUCGAUGAGGUGUCCGGAGGCGUAUCGGGUGGACCUAGCGGCCCACUACUUGGCGGGUGAUGCUCAUUUGUGGUGGCGGAGUGUGCUGGCCAAGAGGGGGCAGGGAUUGGCGGUGUGGGGAGAUUUCUUGGCAGAGUUUAAUGCCAAGUAUUUUCCGGCGGAGGCAUUGGACCGGAUGGAGUCGCAGUUCCUGGCGUUGACUCAGUGCGAGCGGUCGGUGCGGGAGUACGACUCGGAGUUCAGCCGACUCUUGGUGUACUCGGGGCGUGCGGGAGAUCCUGAGCAGAUGCAGGUGCGUCGGUUCAUGAAGGGUCUCAGCCCUGACAUGAGGGUACGGUGCAAGGUGCGGGCCUAUGCAUCGCGUGUGGAGCUGGUUGAGCUAGCGGCGGGGAUCGAGGACGAGUUGAGAAGUCACGGGGUGAUUCCCAGUCCGUCGGCGCAGCCGAAAAAGACCCAGCCACAGUCAGUUCCGAGCAAGGGUGGCAAACCUGCUCAGGGACAGAAGAGGAAGUGGGAUGACACUUCCAGGGUGAGCCAGGGUGAUCGGAGGUGCUUCAGGUGUGGGAUUACGGAUCACAGGGUGGCAAGCUGCCCGAAGAAGGGCGAGCCGUGGGUUGAUACCCGUGUCUGUUACCACUGCAGAGAGACGGGGCACAUCAAGACGAGGUGUCAUAAAUUACAGCAGAUGGCGGUAGCAGCGGUGCAGCCGGUGAUGCAGCCAGUGGUGCAGCAGUGGGUGCAGCCAGGAUUGCAGUUGGCAGGGCAGUCGUUGGCUCAGCUGGGAGCAACGCCGGUUGCACAGAUAAAGGGAUCGAGGGGGUAUACGACCGUGGAGACAGGAGAGCCAAGCACUGGACGGCCGAUCACAGGUUUAAUUCUAAGACUCAUUCUGUUUACUUCCGUUGUUUUAUAAUUUGUGUUGUUUCCUGUGAUUUUGGGGUGGGCGGUCUUAGUGAAAAGGGUUUGUGUAGGGACCCUGUUGGUGGGCGGGUUCAUGUCCCACGUGAUGUUUGAUUCUGGAGAUACGAAUAGCUUCAUUACCCCAGAGUGCGCGACGGGUGGUAACAUACGAGGAGAUCCCGAUGGUUGUUAUGGAGCCGUUAGAGUCGCAGGAGGCGCGUUGCUAGCGGUUCAGGGACGGGCUAGUGGUGUGGAUGUACAGAUUGCGGGAGAGUCGAUGCCGGCAGAUCUGUACAUUAGUCCGGUGGAGUUGUAUGAUGUAAUUCUGGGCAUGGAUUGGUUGGAGCGGCACAGAGUUCAUCUGGAUUGUCACCGGGGGAGAGUAUACUUCGAGCGUCCCGGACCGAAAAUGUAUUUCCAGGGUGUGAGACCGAUUUCGGGGAGUUUAGUGAUUUCGGCGAUUCAGGCGGAUAGGAUGAUCCGAAAGGGGCGGGAAGCUUAUUUGGCUACGAUUGUCAUGCCAGAGACGGUUGAUGAGGUAGUAGUGGAUAAGAUCCGGGUGGUCCAAGAGUUCGAGGAUGUGUUUCAGUCGUUGAAGGGGUUACCACCAUCUCGGUCUGAUCCCUUCACGAUUGAGUUGGAGCCCGGGACAACGCCGUUGUCUAAGGCUCCGUACCGGAUGGCUCCAGCGGAGAUGGCGGAGCUGAAGAAGCAGUUGGAGGAUCUGCUGGGUAAGGGUUUCAUCCGUCCUAUUGUUUCACCGUGGGGUGCACCGGUGUUGUUCGUUAAGAAGAAUGAUGGGAGUUUCCGGCUGUGUAUCGAUUACCGGGGACUUAACCGAGUCACGGUGAAGAACAAGUAUCCUUUGCCGCGGAUUGAUGAGUUGUUGGACCAGUUGAGGGGAGCUAUGUGGUUCUCUAAGAUCGAUUUGGCGUCGGGUUACCAUCAGAUUCCUAUCGACGAGGCGGAUAUCCGUAAAACGGCGUUCAGAAAGAGGUAUGGGCAUUAUGAGUUCGUGGUGAUGCCUUUCGGGUUGACUAAUGCACCAGCGGCGUUCAUGAGGCUGAUGAACAGCGUGUUCCAGGCGUUUCUGGAUGAGUUUGUUAUCAUCUUUAUUGAUGAUAUCCUGGUGUAUUCUAAAAGUCAUGAGGAGCACGAGUUAGACUUGCGGGCAGUGUUGGAGAAGCUGCGCGAGCAGAAGCUGUAUGCUAAGUUGAGCAAGUGUAGUUUCUGGCAGAGAAAGAUGGGGUUUCUGGGUCAUAUCGUGUCUGCAGAGGGAGUUUCUGUGGAUCCAGAGAAGAUUGAGGCUAUCAGAGAUUGGCCUAGACCGCAGAAUGCCACAGAGAUACGGAGUUUUCUGGGUUUGGCAGGUUACUACAGGCGGUUUGUGAAGGGCUUUGCCAGUAAAGCUCAGGCAAUGACCAAGCUGACGGGUAAGGAUGUUCCUUUCGUGUGAACUCCUGAGUGUGAGCNNNNNNNNNNNNNNNNNNNNNNNNNNNNNNNNNNNNNNNNNNNNNNNNNNNNNNNNNNNNNNNNNNNNNNNNNNNNNNNNNNNNNNNNNNNNNNNNNNNNNNNNNNNNNNNNNNNNNNNNNNNNNNNNNNNNNNNNNNNNNNNNNNNNNNNNNNNNNNNNNNNNNNNNNNNNNNNNNNNNNNNNNNNNNNNNNNNNNNNNNNNNNNNNNNNNNNNNNNNNNNNNNNNNNNNNNNNNNNNNNNNNNNNNNNNNNNNNNNNNNNNNNNNNNNNNNNNNNNNNNNNNNNNNNNNNNNNNNNNNNNNNNNNNNNNNNNNNNNNNNNNNNNNNNNNNNNNNNNNNNNNNNNNNNNNNNNNNNNNNNNNNNNNNNNNNNNNNNNNNNNNNNNNNNNNNNNNNNNNNNNNNNNNNNNNNNNNNNNNNNNNNNNNNNNNNNNNNNNNNNNNNNNNNNNNNNNNNNNNNNNNNNNNNNNNGCACCUUGCGGUUGUGUGCUAUUUCUCAGGAGCCACUGGGGUUAGAAGCAGCUAACCGCGCAGACCUUCUGACCAGAGUUCGAGCGGCUCAGGAGAAGGAUGCAGGGCUGGUUAAUGCUUCUAAGGAUACUGAGUCAGAGUAUCAGGUUGCAGCCAAUGGGACUAUCCUUGUGCAUGGGCGAGUUUGUGUGCCCAAGGAUGAGGAGUUGAGACGUGAGAUCUUGAGUGAGGCUCAUGCGAGUAGGUUCUCUAUUCAUCCAGGAGCGACCAAGAUGUACCGAGAUCUGAAUCGGUAUUAUCAUUGGGUCGGGAUGAAGAGGGAUGUGGCUAAAUGGGUCUCUGAGUGCGAUGUAUAUCAGCUAGUGAAGGCUGAGCAUCAGGUGCCGAGUGGAUUAUUGCAGAGUCUCCCUAUUACAGAGUGGAAAUGGNNNNNNNNNNNNNNNNNNNNNNNNNNNNNNNNNNNNNNNNNNNNNNNNNNNNNNNNNNNNNNNNNNNNNNNNNNNNNNNNNNNNNNNNNNNNNNNNNNNNGACUAAGUCUGCACAUUUCUUGGCUAUCAAGAAAACCGAUGGAGCGGUAGUGCUAGCUAAGAAGUAUGUGCAGGAGAUUGUGAAACUUCAUGGAGUACCGGCCAGUAUUGUGUCAGACCGGGAUUCGAAGUUCACUUCGGCGUUCUGGAAGGCUUUCCAGAAGGAGAUGGGUACUAAGGUGCAUUUGAGCACGGCUUACCACCCUCAGACAGACGGGCAGUUUGAGCGGACCAUUCAGACACUUGAGGAUCUGUUGAGGAUGUGUGUGUUGGACUGGGGUGGUCAGUGGGCAGAUCACUUGAGCUUGGUGGAGUUUGCUUAUAAUAAUAGCUACCAGGCGAGUAUUGGGAUGGCUACUUAUGAGGCGUUGUAUGGGAGGCCAUGUCGGACACCUCUAUGCUGGACUCAAGUGGGGGAGAGGAGCAUUUAUGGUGCGGAUUUUGUUCAGGAGACUUCAGAGAAGAUUCGGAUUCUGAAGCUGAACAUGAGAGAGGCGCAGGAUCGGUACAAGUGUUAUGCUGAUAAGAGGCGUAAAGAGUUGGAGUUUGAGGUUGGAGAUAUGGUGUAUCUCAAGAUGGCGAUGUUGCGUGGUCCUAACAGGUCCCUUACCGAGACUAAGCUGAGUCCGAGGUUUAUGGGUCCUUUCAGGAUUGUGGAGCGGGUUGGACCGGUGGCUUAUCGGUUGGAGUUACCUGAGGUAAUGCAUGCAUUUCAUAAGGUAUUCCACGUGUCGAUGCUGAGGAAGUGUCUUCACAAGGAUGAUGAGGUGUUGGCUACGAUCCCGGCGGAUCUUCAGCCUAGCAUGACCUUGUAGGCGAGGCCAGUGAGGGUUCUCGAGAGGCGGGUAAAGGAACUUCGGCGUAAGAAGAUUCCUUUGAUGAGAGUCCAGUGGGACUGUGAUUGAGUCUUGGAGGAGACGUGGGAGCCAGUGGCCAGGAUGAAGGCAAGGUUCCGGAAGUGGUUUGACAAGCAGGUCGAGGAGUAGACCGUUGGCUUUUUUGGUUUUUGAGUUUGGUUUUGGUUGUAUCUCUUUUGUAUUCUCAUUUUUUUGGUGUAAUGAUUAUGACAUUGGAGAUUAAUAAGAUGAGUAUUUCUUGGAUUUGACUUGUUGUGUCAUGUGUAAGAGAAAUAUGUGCGAGUUUCUAAAAAUAGAAAGUGUCGGGUUUGACGGUUCUAUUUUUGGAAAGUCUCGGGGUGGUAGUUAGUAGUGGACCACGGGAGGUAUAUCUGAUCGAGAGAUAUGCUCGGGGGCGUUUAGACUUAUUUGCUCGUAUAUGAUGUGAUGGCCUCGGAUGACGAUUCGAGUGCACGCUUGAGGGUGACGACCCGAGAGCGAGCGUGUGACUUCCCGGAUACCGUAGCUAGAAGGCGGGUGGCCUAAUAGUGAGCCGGUAUGACUUGAGGGUUGCGACCUGAGAGCGGGGGAAGUGGUGAGGCUUCCUGGAUACCGUAGUCUAAGGCUGAGGCCUGAGGACGAGCCGGUAUGAUCCACGGGUUGCGACCUAUGGACGGGGGAGGUGGGUGUGUAUGAGCAAAUAGGGUCUGGAACGCGAGUAUAUUGAUUAGAUAGGGGCCUCGGUGAGGUCAGUUGUGUACUGACGGUUGUGUUGGAGGAUUCGGGGACGAAUCCUAGUUAGUGGGGGAGAAUUGUAACGCCCGUGUCUGCAAAUACGGGUGGUGUCGAUCGACACUGUGGUUGGGUGUCGAUCGACACUAGUAUUUCUGGUUUGACGGUUUAAGUUUUAAAUCGUCGGUUCAAUUGAGGCUUGGUUUGGGUUGGUUAACCCUAGGUCGUGUUUAAAAGAGGGAAGGUCGUGUGUUGUCUCUUCCAGAGAGAGAAAAAGGUUCUAGAGCUUUUGAGGGUUUUUGUGAGUCUUUGGUGGUGCUUGGUGGUGUUCCUGGUGGUUUAAGGCUAGUAGAGGCUAGAUCAGUGUUGUGUGGUGUUAGAGGAGACAGAUCCUUCCUUGUUCUUCCUUGUUUUCGUUGCUGUUCUUCUUGUUAAAGAGGUGAGUGCAUGACCAGGCUUAUCUAAGCAUGUUUGAUCAUUGUUUCAGGGUUUUGAUGAUUGAUUGAUUGAUUUCCUUUGCUUGUUUAGCUGUUUAUUUGAUGAUUGAUGCCUGUGGAAUCCUUUGGAGACUCGUUCUUAUCGUGGUGGUCUUUUGGAGAAGAGAUCCAGUGAGAAAAGCAGUUGGAGCGUCUGCUGAGAGUCGGUGUCGAUCGACACCAAGGGUGGGUGUCGCUCGACACCAACAUUUCAUCGCGCGAGGAUAACUGCGUCUUACGAUUGGAGUGUCGAGACCGGUGUCGUCCGCGAGGGUCGACAGCGAGUGUCGAUCGACACCGAUAGUCAGAAGCGAUUCUGGUCUAUCUUUUAUUGGUUGUUUAGUUCUUUUCCUUGGAUUUUGGUUGAAUGUGCUUGUGUGUAUAGCCAGUGGUGGUAUGAUUGCCUCACUAAGUAUUUAUGAAAUACUUAUGCAUCUCUUUCUUUAAUGCAGGUAAAAGCAAAGUGUGAUCCGUGUAAUCAUGGCGAGGAGAGGAGGAUGAUAUAGGCGCUCAUUGGUGUUUAGAUGAUUGUAGGAUUUGUUAGGAUGCUAGAAUGGAAUUUAGAAGCAUGUUAGGAUGAAUUCGUUUCUGGAAUAUUGAUAGUUGAACUUGUUGGAUUAAUGAAAUGGUUUGAUUGGAUUUUUGUUUAAGUCUUCCGCUGGUUACGUUGAGUUGGUUGUGUUAGUAAAAUUGUCUGGGUUGCUUUAAAGGGGUUAAUCCGGAUUGUUUGCAUGUUUAAAACAAAAAAAAAAACGGGAUGGGUUCUUUCACUAUUAUCUUCGUAUCACCAACAGCAAGCUGAUGCUGAAAUUUAUUAACCAAAGACUCCUCAAUAGAUGCAUGGAUCCUUGUUCCCUUCGAUGGAGAAGAUAGUAUUAAACAAAAAGUUUGAUAUAUAUACACAAAUUCAUCAUAUAUUUAAUAACACAUGUACAAUGUAACUUAUUGAAUCACAAGAAUUAAAAUAGACGUGAAACUAACAUACCUCUGUAUCAAUUAGAACCAUCUCUAGAGUCUUAAAUGAUUUCCAAAUCCUCAUAACACGCACUUUGAUCUUGUAUUGAUCAUUGGCAGGAUUGAUUUCGCUAGCUAGAACAAAAGGAGAAAUUCUUAUUUUUUUAGAGUCCAUGAUGAAUUAAUAAUAGUUGUAAUUUUUAAGAACAUGGUUAUGCAUAUUUAUAGUUAAAUUAUCUAACAGUCGGUAAUAUUGAAUAGAUUAUGAUAAUAAUGGAUUAUUUACUUAGAUUUAAUUAUGAGUAAAAUUUAGAACAUGAUAAGUACGUAAAGAUUCUAAUAUCAUUGAAUUGGAUAUAGAAGUUUAAAAUUUAUCUUUUCCAAAUUCAUAUAAUAUUUCCUGAAUUUUCGUGGUGUUAUUGUUAUAUAUAUAAAUAUAUCAUCAUGUAUUUUUAAUUUUUUAAUCUCUUUAAAAAACAUAAAUAGUGUAAAAUUUAAAGUAUGUUUGUUAAAUUUCCAUUUGUUAUAAUUGAAUGAUUCCUCUUCUUGUCUAUUAUGAACCAUCUAAAAAAGAGAUUAAUUAACAGUUUACCUUAUUUAAAUAUUUUAAAAUAUGUAACUAAUAUGUCUGUUCUUUAUAAGAUAUUUUCAUGGGAAAGUUAACAUUUUAGAAUAAAAGGCUAAAUCUGUUAUGAAAUAUGAUAAGGGAUUAUGUCUACAAAGAUUUACAUACAAUUUUAUAUUACAAUAUCUUUAGUCUAGUAUUUUGAUAAGUAUAUAUAUAUAUAUAUAUAUAUAAAUUUUCAAACUUUAAUUUUGCAAAGAUUAAUAAUAACGAUGUUAUUUUAAUCAACUAUAUGCUUAAUAGUUUUACUAUUAAUCCGUAAAAUUUAAAUAAAUAUAGAUCAUCAUUGAAAACCUAGCAAACUUUAAUAAUCGACGCGCUGAUCAUUAGAUCAAAAAAAAAAAAAACAAAGUCUGAAUUAAACUAUAUCAAACUUAAAAAUCUUCAUCUUCCAUAUCAGCAAAUGCAUCUCUCAGCUGCGUCACGUGCGGACACAAUGGAUUUAUCAUUACGCUCGUACAAUUAUGCACCGUUGAAGCUCUCCAUGUUUCUACAUUUGUUAUUAAGAUAUGUACAAAAAUUAGAUCCCCAUCUUUUUAUACAAUAUGUUAGAGCUAUCGUAAGUAAAGAUCUAGAAGUAGGAACAACCUUGGUUAAUCUCGAGUUUAGCAAACCUCAUUACACAUAUAAUGAUAUUGUCAAUCGAAUGUCUCCAAGCAUUAAAGAAAUCGUUCGCGUAUGAUGUCGCUAAACGACAUGGUAAUCGAUCACCCCUUGAUUAAUAUUGUAGAAGAUUAGAAGUUGCAAUAUACGAUAUUCAAUAUGUAAUAUGUAUAAGAUAAUUAGUCAACAUACUCAAGAUCUUCUAACUCAAAGAAUAUCUCGUUUCAGUCGUUGCCUGGAGGACCAUGUUGGUUACGAUUCCCUACAGCCAUUACUCGUCCAAUGAUAUCUACACAUAUAUAUAUAUAUAUAUAUAUAUAUAUAUAUAUAUAUCUAUAUUAUUAAGCCUCUGGAAAUAUAGAAUUAGACUAUGAAUAAGACAAUAUGGCAAUAUAGAUUAAAACGUACCAACACAGUAAGUAGGGUCAAGAUAUCCACUCUUGAUAUCACUAAAAGAUACGAAUGAAUAAAAAUAUUCAGAACUCAAAGAAGCAAUAUUCCUGAACCAUGUCGUCGAUCUCCAAUGUAUCAUAAAACGAUGAUCAGUUGGUCUAAAAGCACCAAUAACUCUGCUCAUUGAAAAUCCUGAAAUUAAUAUCCAAUUUCCCUCAUGAAGUCUUUGUGUAAAAACGUCUUCAAAUUCUUGACCCAUCACGGCAUGAAUUUUUUGACCCUAAAAUACAAACAAAUAAAUUAACUCGAUCUUGUAGCAAAUAUAAAAUAAAAGUAAUAUAAGAUCGUUAUCUAUUAGAAACCUAAAACAAAAAAGAAGUAGCGUAUAAACACAGAAUUCAAUACUCUAAUUCAGAAGCAUACCUUUCCAUCUACUAAAAUAAGAUCGAGUGAAUUGUAAGGAGGAGUAGUACACGUAAAUUUCCUCAGAAUCUUAACUUUUAUUUUCCACUCAUGUGUCAAUGGAUUCAAAGUAGACACAUCAAAGAAAUUAUCUUUUUUCCCUAUCUUUUUCUUGAUAGCAUUAGAAAGUAGGUUAGCCAUCUUAAUAUUUUGAAGUUUCUAAUGCAAACUCUUAUUCUGAAUAUUUCGAUAUAAAUAGAGUUCGGUAUGGUAAAAUAUAUGUAUAUUUUACAUUUAUUUACGUGUGAAAUAUUCUCAUCUAUAAUAGUUUUGUUAUAAAUAAUUUUUUAGAAUGAUAAUAAUUAUCAUACGAAAUUUAUUCAAAAGAUUUAUUAUUUCUUGGAUGAGAUAACAACACAUAUCUUACAUAAUGAUGAAACGGAAAAUACUUAACAAAUUUAAAUUACAGAAAUAGAUUAUUAUUCCUCAUCGGAGCUGUCAUCUUCAGGAUUGACCUCUGGUUGUUCACCCCUGUGUACAAUUAAAUUAGUAAGUAAUUAUUAAUAUUGCAUUUAAUUAUUACAUGUUUUACAAUAAACUACGAAAAAGGUAUUGUCAAAUGUUAAACUUACAACAAUGUCUCAAAGUUCAUUUCCAUGAACUCUAUAUUAAGGAAAAUUCUUGAACAGCCAUAUUGAGAAAUUAGAGAUGGGAUACCUAUGUAAAUCAUAGAAUAAUGAGUAGCUAAGUUUUAAAACAGACAGAAAAUUAUACACUAAACAUGUGAAAUAAUAUUAUAGACAAAGAUUUAAUAAUGUAAGAAUAUUAGUACUAACCUUCAUACACAGAGAUUCUCCAAAAACGCAAAACACACAUUAUAGAUUCCUCAGCAUCAUCAUCAUAAUCUAUAAGAAUUUGCUCUAAUUUGUUUUCAAAUUCUUUUGCGGAUUUUCCCACCGCAACACAGGUUAUUUCUUUUUGCCUAAUCAUAAAACUACAUGUCAGUCUAAUAUAAGUUUUUAUAAAAUCUCAAUAUAUAGGCAAUUCAAAAUAUGCUCACGUUUCAUCCGUAAGGGUGAAGGGCACUACAUUUUCGGUAUUAGAGUAGCCAUUUUGUUCGUCUAUAAAUGUUACUUCACGAAUCUGUGAAACAUUAGAGACAAUACCGCUAGCAUCUGUACACAAAGUAAGAAGAAAAUAUUUCAGAACAUUUCAAUUUAAUUUUUUUCGAUAUUGUAAAUGUAUUAAAUAUACAGACUAUAAGUACACAUACCUACACAAUACUUCCUAUCUUCCACAUGAGAAUUUUGAAGCUGCGUGCAUGUAACAAAGUUAAAAUAAGAACUCCUAUCCUUCUCUUCCACUUCGCGCAUUGUUGUUUGGUAGAUCGUCCUUAUUGUCAAGUGAUGGCGAGAAUUUUUAACUUGUAAAUUAUUCUCCAUAACUUGAAAGUUGGAAAGUAGAUACCACUUUUCCUCAACAAUGAGAUUAUGGAAUGGUGAUGCGUACCGAAUGUAUGGAAUUGUUGCAUCAAUCCUACAACCCUGUGUUAUAAAAGAAUAAAACAUUCAACGUUAGAAAAUAACUAUAAUCAGCAUAAUAAAGCUAAACGGAAAAUAUGUAUAACUUAUUCACCUGUUGAUCUACUAAUAUCAUGUUCUUCCUCUUCCCUUCCGAAUCAACCUUCGGCUUCCAGACAGCCAAAAGUUUAACAAAUACACUCCAGUUAGUAGAAUUCGUAGAGAUAUCAGCGAACAAAUGUUGUCCUGCCAUCUGCUUAAGAGAAUAAUAAUUUGUAGGCAAAGUUGAGAAUGAUAUUUGUUUAGCUCAGUCAUCUUCCUCGAAGGUGUUUAUAUAUAACGAAACCAGUAGAGUUAUUAGCCGUUUCAUUUCAACCUUUUCAUUAACUUACAAAUAAAUGAACGGUCAACAAAAUUAAAACACUAUUGAAUUACUCUAAAAUCUCAGCCUAUACUGACAUUGCUUUGAAUGACAUAUGCAUGUAUCUUUAACAUGUGAAUUCGCCUCACUUGUCAUUCCUAUAAACCAAUAUCAUAUUUUUUAAUAUGCUCGUUAUAAAUCAAUUUAUCUUUGCAAAAGGAGGAAAAGGUAAAGAUAAGGUUUUGAGAUCUUAUGUAGAUUUCAAUGUGUAAAUACAACAGUUUAUAGAUAUCGUUGGCACUUCACGGGACAAAUAAGAGGUAUUUAUAAUUGUCUAUAUCUAUUGAAAACUCCUAGAUCAUCCUUCGAUUUACUAUGUUGCAUGUGAACUUGUAAAACUCUUUCCUUUUAUAAAACAAUAGUACAUAGAGGAUGAUUUUGCUAUAAUCAAAAAGAGGCCAAUCAAUGAUAAAAGAAUUGCAUUAUUAAAUUUCAUGAGAUUAUUAUUCAGAUAACGUGUUUGCUCGUUUUAAAUUUUAAUUGUUAGAGAUGUUAUAAGAUUAACAUAUAAGAUUUGGUUUCACUUUUUUAAACUCCAUCGGUUCGAUGAAAGCAUAACUUACAUAGUAACUUCAUUGUACUUCUAUCCGUGUAUACCAUUUCGAUUUACUCAAUCAUAUUAUAUCAAACGCCAUGACAAAUGAAGCUAUCUAUAUUGAAAUCUCCAAGGUCACCAACUCGAUUUACUAUGCUGCAUGUGAUUCAUUAAAACCCUAUCCUCACAAACAACAACAGUCCAAACUGCCAGAUUUAUUGUUUCACGUGAAAGACUUACAUUAUUAGAUAGGAAUCAUAUCGAUUUGUGAAAAAAAUUAACAACUUUAUAUCAAAAACAUUUAAUAUAUUCGAAGCUGCGGUUUGGGGAAAAUUUCAUAAUUUUAAAUAGCAUAUAAAACGGAAAACAUGAUAUGAGAAAGACGUAUAAUUGAGUAUUUAAAAGAGAAGUCAUGAAGUGUAAAGAUUAAAACCAAACUGAAUUAUGAAAAACAUGAAAAACGAAUUUAGCGAUUCUCUUAAUCAUAGACGUUGUCUACUUAUGCGGGUAGACCUCCUUGGAUUCCUAAGAAAAUAAGAUAUGAAACAAAACUAUAUUAAUAACAUAACAAAGAUUAACUAUAAUUUUUGUUGAUGCAAAUACACUUACAUUACUACGAAGUUGUCCACCUCCGGAAUAUUUGGAUUGAGUCUUACUUGGGUACAAAUGGUGUUAGACACAGUUCUUUUUCCUAUAAUAAGAAUAACAUUUUUAAAAUAUAUUAAAUAACAAAUAUACUAUACUAUCAUAGAUAAAAUACGUUAUCUGAAUAAUAAUUUUAUGAAUACGUACCUUGAAAAACGUCUAUUACUCCCCAUCGAAUCACACAAAUGAGACUUUGGUUUUGCAAAACUUUGUAGGCCUUAUAGAAGUUAACGGCCGAUGAUCCAGUCAACUCACAUCCUAAAAUGACUCCACUAUAUUGGCAACAUCACAAAUAAUCAUUAGCAAUAUAUAGUCAUACCAAAUACAUUUAUAAUAAUGAUGAUAAAAGAACUAUAUUAAAUAUUUGCAUAGUUAGAAACAAAAAACCUGGUGUUUCGAAGUUCAAAAGAAAUCUUAUGAUGUUCAGAAUAAUCUUUUUUGUUAUCAACCUCUUCGUCGACAUUUUGAUUAUCAAUAUCGUCUUCUUCUUAGUCGACAUCUUCAUUAGAUUGACUCCCAUUAUAUUCCUCCUCAUCAUAAGUUUCUUCUUGUGUAUCAUUAUAACCAAUAUCUUCUUCGUCACUACCGCUAUCAUCAUAUCCUUCAGUUUCGGUUUCUGUUUCAUCGUCUUCAUGAUCUUCUUCUUCAGAACUACUACUUUCGCCGUAUCCAUCACUCCCAUAUUCACUAUCUUCCGUAUCCAUAAUCUCAUAAAAACCUUCAUCUUCAACAUCCUCCUCUUCUUCAGAUUGCUCAUAGUCCUCAUCCAUUGCAUCUCCUUCAUCGUCAAUAUGAUCAGUGUAAAUACUAUCAUCGUCAGAAUCUUCGAAUUCAUAAUCAUUAUGACGACGAACCUUGGAAGUACAUCCAUUGUUGGAAAGUCCAUCUCGGCAAAUAAACUUGAAGAGAUGUUGAAUAUGAACGGAUCUUGAUCUAGACACAGAUUGGACGAUUUUUUUCUGCUCACUAUCGUUGUUUACAUGGUCCCAAGUAUCAAACUUUCCUACGUAAAUAACUUCUCCAAUGAUAUCUAAUAAAUUAAAAAAAUAUAUAUAAUUAUUAUAAAUAUAAACCCUAAUGUAAAAUAACAUAGGAAAGAGACAGAAACCAUAGUUUCACUUAAUCUUAAAACACAUCAUUAUAAUAACUUACCGACCACGUAAUCAUCACAAUGAGUACCAUCCAAUAUAUGUUUAUAAUCGAUAAAUUCAAAGUACUCUCCACCUGCAAUAAUCGUAGCCUUCUUAAUCAUGGUUUGACACAAAAUAAUAACUUUGUAUCGAUGAGUAGUGGUUUUGCAAGACCCAUAUUGAUCCACCACUUUGAAGUUUUCGAUUUCAAGCCAAUCACCAACAGCAUAUUUUGAAAUAAAUCUAUCAUAAAGAAUGCCACGGAAGGAACACUGAACCUUUUCACCCUACAAAAAUUGUUAGAUACUGGUUAAGUAAGAUUAUGGUAUCAAUUCGUAAUAUUUAUGAAUAUGUAAUUUAUUAAAUUAAAUUUUAAAUCGCAUGUUAUUCAAACAGCUAUCAAACCUGAAUAUCAACUAAAACCAUCUCCAAACUUGGUCCAAGUUUCAAAAAAUUAUCCUCCCAUAAACACAACACUUUAACCUGAAUUCUCCAGCCAUAUUUCGAAGGAUUCAAACGUGAUACACCAUCAACAGCAUGAAUGUUCACCAUAAUGAAACCUGAAUAAGAAUAGAAACAAAUCUAUUUAGGUAUUGAAAAUACUAACUGAAUUAAUUUUUUUAUUAAAAACUGAGUAAUGAAAACAAAAUAAAAACCUAAUUAAUCGUUGGAGCUAUGAAAACUUGAACAAUGAAUGGUCAUAUAUAUAUAAACAAAAAUAAUCGUUUAAUAUAUGUAUAAUUAUCAAUAUGAAUAAUGUCCUUUAUUAAUAUGAACAUUUAUCUUUAACUUAUAUAAAUCUUUUACUUUUUAUAAUCUGAUCGACUUACAAUUAACAUUAUAAAUAUGUAAAAUUUAUAAUUAUCUUAAUGUAAAUUUUUUUAAAAAAUACGAUUAGGAAAAUCUGAGACAGUGUAUAAAUAAAAAAGCAAAUAUAUAGUAUAUAUAAUAGGCAAUAUUGUGAAUUACCCUAUAUUGAACCACUAAUUACUAACAUAUUUAUCGUUUUAUAUAUUGUUAUAUAACCUUAUAAAUUUCUGGUAUAUAUCGGAUAUGUAUUUCAAUCAUAUAUUUAAUAACUUGGAUAUAUACAAUAUAUUUUGUAGAUAUUCACUAACUUGAAUAGAUACAAUAUAAACAAAUGAUUUUUUUUUUUGGAUUAACUUAUAUAAGCUAAUCAAGAUAUUUAUCUCUAUCCUUUUCAGAUUUAAUAAUUAUACCUUAAUAUUUUUAUCCAACGUUAAAAUUAAUUAGUUUUAAACAUAUGUUUAUUUUUUAAGUUACACACUUAUUGCAUAUCAAGAAGAUGUAAUAAAGAUUUCUUAAAUAUUUUUCAACUAUAUUAUCAAACAGUUUGAUAUAAACAUCUCAGUAAUUAUCACUUGUUUAUCAAAAGUGAAUAAUAAUAUGCAAGUUUCGAAAUAAUAAUUCAGAAAUUACUCGUUAUAAAUUUCUUUAACAAUAUCAGAAUAUUAAAUUCUUGAGUAUAGGGUUUGCUAAUGAUGUCUAAACUUGAAACUUAAUUUAAUUAGUAAUAAAAAAGGGUAAAAAAAAAAACAAAAACAUUAUUUUUACCUAAUAAAUCUAAGAUACAUCAUAAAACCUAAAAAUACAAUUAUAAGGAUGAACAAAACUUUUUGGAUUCGUGGCUUUCUUCUUUUUUUUUGGAAACCCUUGCUUCCACCUAUUUUCUUUAGUAAUCCAAAAAAACACCCNNNNNNNNNNNNNNNNNNNNNNNNNNNNNNNNNNNNNNNNNNNNNNNNNNNNNNNNNNNNNNNNNNNNNNNNNNNNNNNNNNNNNNNNNNNNNNNNNNNNCUCAUAUUUGUAUAGCUUUGCUUCAACAUCUAUUGAAUUGGCUUCCAUCCAACUUUGAAAUUUAGAUCCACGAUUUGUAGCUAGCAAUGUAGAAUCUUCUUUGAUAUCCUCUAUAAAAAAAUAAUAUUUUCAAAAACUAAAUUAGAAAUCCUGCUGAAGAAUCAAUAUAUAAAUUAAACCCUAAAUAAUAUACCUAACCCAAAAAAUGAUGUAACCAUAGACAACAAUGUAUAAUUAAUUGACAUUGCAUCACAAACAACAACUACACGAUAUAGAAAACAGUAAUUAGAGUAAGAUAAACAAAAAGAAGAACAAAGAUGAGAAUAAUAUAUAAAUUAAACCGAAAAUAAUAUAUCUAAUCCAAAAGGUGAUGUAACCAUAGACAAAAGUGUAGUAUUACUUGACAUUAUAUCCCAAACAACCACUACACGAUAAAGAAAACAGUAAGUAGAGGACGAUGAACAAAAAUAAGAACAAAGAUCAGUACCAAAAUAUAAUUCCGCGAACAUGAUAUAAAAGUUUAGGUUUAGUUUUUUUGUUUUAGUUAUGGGGAGACCAUUGAAACUCUAAUAUUUAUAGUAGCAGACUUUUUUUUUUUCCUAGGGUUUCAAUUUGAUACGGUUUUUUUUAACGGGCUUUUGGAAUAAGCCCGUCUCAUCUAAACCCUAAACCUAAAACACUCUAUAUCGUUUUUUUAAACUAAUUUCGGUUAGGGUUUUAAAAUUUCUAAUCUUGAUUGUUAGGUUUUGAUUUAAAAAGAACUAACUAAAACUUUUAAUCAGGGGUAUUUUUUCAUUAAGGGUAAAACGGUAACCCGGUCUCAACUUAAUUUUCGUUUUUGUCNNNNNNNNNNNNNNNNNNNNNNNNNNNNNNNNNNNNNNNNNNNNNNNNNNNNNNNNNNNNNNNNNNNNNNNNNNNNNNNNNNNNNNNNNNNNNNNNNNNNCAAAUUGCCGGAUUUUUUUUUUUUUUUAAUUAACUAAGGAUUAAGGAAAAGAUUACAACUAAGGGUAUUUUUCAUUAAGGGUAACUUAGUAAUAUUUUUGUGAGAUUGAAUGUGAGCACUUUCGACUACUGCUUUAAUAAUAUAGAUUUUAAAAGUUUUAUAUAUAUGAACCUUUUAUUUAUAAUAUUUUGAAACUAUUUGAAAUUUUAAAUAUGCUCAUGUAACAAUGGUUUUAAUAUUGGUCAUACUUAUAAUGAUUUUAAACCGUUGUCCAAAAUAUUUAACCGAGUGUAGUUGAGUAUUAUAUGUCCGUUUUGAAAAAUUCAAAUUGCAACAUAUGCAAAAAAAGUUAAAUUUUUAUUAAAUAUUUAUAUUAUAUAGUAUAAUAUCAUAAAUUAAAAAUAAUAUCAAACAAAAGUGAAAGAAGAAUAAUAUUUUUUAAAUAGAUUGUAUUAAAUUAGUUAGAUAUAACUAAUUUAAAUGAUAUCAACCAUAAUAGAAAUUGUUGAAUUGGAAAACCUAUUAUAAACAUGAUUAACCAAAGAAAAAUCUAUUGUAUUUAAAUUAGUUAUCAACCAUAACUGUAUAAAUCAUUUUUAACUAAUUUACUAUAAAUAUUUGAAUCAUAUAAAUACCUUUAUUUCAUAUUAUAAAUAAACAUGAUUUGAUAUGGUAAGAAAAUAUACAAUUUUGUUUAUAAUAUUAUCUAUAUCAUGAUCAUCAAAUAAUAGAAAUUGUUGAAUUGGAAAACCAAAGUUUAUAAUGAGAAAGUCUUAAAGAUGGUAUUUAAAAGAAAUGUAACCAAAGUCAUACUUGCAGAAAAUGAAAAGAAAAAAUUUAAAGGUUCUUGAACACUUCAUUGAAGACCAGAUUGGUUGUCAUUAGUUUCUGCCAUUUUUUUGAUAGAAAAAAUGUGUUUAUCGCUAAUAAUCUUUUGGGAGGAUUAUACACCAUCAAUAGAUUCUUCUCUUAUUUAUAUUAAUACUAACGGAACUUAGAAUAUUCUUGAUAUUUUUUAUUUUCAUAUAUUUAGUUGUUAAUGUUUGAUAUAGUUUUGAAUUUCAAAAUUGUUAGGUAUGAUUUUUGGGUUUAGGAAACAAAAUUAAUCGUGAUUUGAUGAAUCAAAACUAAUGAAUAAAUUUUUUGCUAUAUAUUAGGAAUGUAUUUUUAUGAGUGAUUAUAUUAUUUAAUCAUCUCUAGCAAAAUAUUCGUUGAUGAUGACUUAUUAAAUUUUAUGAGUUUAAUUUAUUUAUAUAAUUGUUUCUAUAAUUAAGGGAUUUGAAGUAAUGAACAAAUUGUUUGCUAUAUUUUAGCAUAACACUAAAAUUUCCAUCGAUGCUGGUUCAUCUAAUUUUAUGAGUUUAUUUUUUUAUAUAAUUGUUUCUAUAAUUUAGGGAUUCGAAAUAAUUCAUAAACUGUUUAAAUUUAGCUAUGAAUGUUUAUUAUGGUUUUGAAUUUCGAAAUUAUUAGGUAUGAUUUUUUGGUUUAGGAAACAAAAUUAAUCGUGAUUUGAUGAACCUAAACUAAUGAAUAAAUUGUUUCCUAUAUAUUAGGAAUUUAUUUUUAAGAGUGAUUAUAUUAUUUAAUCACAUUUUAAAAUUUUCGUUUUUAAUCUACUAAUUAAAUUUUAUGAGUUUAAUUUAUUUAUAUAAUUGUUUCUAUAAUUAAGGGAUUUGAAGUAAUGAACAAAUUGUUUGCUAUAUUUUAGCAUAACACCAAAAUUUUCAUCGAUGCUGGUUCAUUUAAUUUUAUGAGUUUAUUUAUUUUAUUGUUUCUAUAAUUUAGGGAUUAGAAGUAAUGAAUAAAUUGUUUAAAUUUAGUUAUUAAUUUUUAUUAUAGUUUUGAAUUUCGAAAUUGUUAGGUAUGAUUUUUUGGUUUAGGAAACAAAAUUAAUCGUAAUUUGAUGAAUCUAAACUAAUGAAUAAAUUGUUUGCUAUAUAUUAGGAAUGUAUUUUUAAGAGUGAUUAUAUUAUUUAUUAAACCCAAAAUUUCGUGAAUGAAGGUUCAUUUAAUUUUAUGAUUUUCUAAAAUUGUUUCUAUCUAAAAUUGUUUGCUAUAAUUUAGCUAAAUUUGUUUCUAUUAUUUUGGUUAUGUAGUUUUCUUAAAAAUAGAUUGAUUUUGUUUUACCUUUUUUUAUUGUAUAAACUAUGAUUGACUUAUACAAAAUGCUUCCAUUUUAAUAGUAUAGAUACUAAUAACCAAAAUCAAAACAAAGAGAACAACAACAACAGAGAAGUAGAACUUAAUAGCCCACCAAGAACAAGCAUACCUUCUCCUAUCAAAAGGUCUGAAAAAUCAUAUAAGAAUUCUAUAUGUGGUCGAGAAGACAGAGAGAACCGAGAUUCAGUUCUGUAUGUUGCAAACAUGUAAUAAUAAUUCUAUAUGUGGUCGAGAAGCAACAUGAGCUAUUAAAUAAAACAGAUGCCAAACUCGCAAAUCAGAUCAGUAUACCUCGGUUAUAAAUGUAGUAAUGCUGAUGGUACAUGAUCCUUCUCCUUUUUGAUAAUUGUGAGGAAGUCCUCUUGAUCAAAUCUUCAUGAACUAUAGAGAACAUCAAUGACCUGCAAAGACAAUGUUUAUAUACUAAUAACUAAAAUCAAAACUAAGAGAACAACAACAACAGCAGAGAAGUAGAAACUAAUAGCUCACCAAGAACAAGCAUACCUUCUCCUAUCAAAAGGUCUGAAAAACCAAUGGAUUUGUAAUAUAUAGUUAAGCAAAAGAGGAAUUCUAACACAGGAAUACACAAAAAAUCAUAUAAGAAUACUCAUUACAAAACCGAAGAGAGGAAUACUAACCAAAUACGUGAAUCAUAAGUCCAACAUUGGCUUCCAUCAAUCGUAUAUACAUCAUACACUUAUCCUAAAAACACUCUUACAUAACACCAGCUCUUUUCGGGUUUCGGCAAAGGUUAAUAACUCUUUCUUGCUAGGGUUCCAAACUACAGGGGCUCCUGGUACUUGAAAACAGAUCAAGCCAUGGACAGAUUCAGUAGGGGGCAAGUAACAUAACCAAGUACAAAUCUUCAUUAUCUAACACUGAAUACAAAAAACCAUAUAAGACGACAUACAGAGUAAGACAGAGAACCACAAAUACUUUGUUCAAAACAAAGAGAUGAAUAAUAUAUAUAAUACGUGACUCACAAGGCUAUAACAUGUUUGAUGAUGAACUAAAAAUUACACAAAAUGGCUUGCAUUUGCAUCAGCCAUCAAUCAAAUCGUAGAUGCAUAUACACCCUAUGAGAUUCAGUUCUGUAUGAGGUCGAGAAGCAACAUGAGCUCAGUAGUAAUAAAAUAAAACAAUGCCAAUGGAAACUCGCAAAUCAGAUCAGUAUACCUCAGGUUAUGAAUGUAGUAAUGCUGAUGCUACAUGAUCCUACUUGAUCAAAUCUUCAUGAACUAUAGAGAACAUCAAUGACCUGCAAAGAAGAGAACAACAACAGAGAACAACAUCAAAGACAAUAUAUAUAUACUAAUAACACUAAAAUCAAAACAAAGAGAACAACAACAACAGAAAAGUAGAAACUAAUAGCUCACCAAGAACAAACAAACCUCCUCCUAUCAAAAGGUCUACAGACCAUGUCUCAAGGACUACUAACCAAACACGUGAAUCAUAAGACCAACAUUGGCUUCCAUCAAUAAUCGUAUAUUCAUAUACACUUAUGAGAUUCAAUGAAGACACAAAUCGAAUAAAAUCAAUUGCUACAUAAUAAACUCCUAAAAAUUGGAUAAAAGUUCUCAACUUGUAAGACACAAGACAUCAACAACAAGACCAUAUCCAGCACACAGAGGAACAAGAAUAGAUAGAGCGUUACCUUGAAGGGAAAAAAGGAAGCAAGAAGAAGAUUCCAACACGAACCAGAAGAAGAGGAACCAAAAGCCUCGAUCAUCAUGUCUCAAGCCUCAGCAUUCUAUGAUCGCCAUGUUUGCAUAUCUUGAUCAUCAAACCGAAUCACACUACAACAAAUCAACCAGAGAAAAUCUAUAAAGGUAGAAGCUUUACACCAACGAUGAAUCAGAGAAUCGAAGGCGAUGAGGGUUAUGCUUUGUUGUUCGACAAGAGAGAACGAACUAAGGAGAUUGAUUUGUAGGGUUUCGAAGAAAAAGAAGAAGAAGAAGAAGAAACAACGGAGAAGAAGAAGUGAGAAACAGAGAAGAAGCGUUGAGUUGAGAGAAACAGAGAAUUUUGAUUUCUCGAUCAAAACGGAAAAACGGAGAAGAAGCGUUGAGUUGAGAAAAUUAAAGAGUAAAUUUUUAAUAUUUAUAAGCAAAAUUAAUUAAAAGAAAAGGAAAUUGAUAAUAUCACAAUCACAACGGUUAUAUUAUUAUGAGUUUAAGGAAAUCAAUACUAAGAUUUUGUUUCUGUUAAUUUUUUUCAUCACAACGGUAACAACUUAUUAACUUCAAUUUGUAGAACAUUUUGAACCUUGUUAAUUUUAAAAGAGAAUUUAGCGAAAAAGAUAUAUGUUUAAACUUUGAACUGUCAUUUUAUACUAUUAAUUCACUGAAAAUUACUAUAACUAUUUUAUUGACCUAUUCUUAUUUUUCAUAUUUUUUCUUCAUUAAUAUAUAGUGUUUCGUAUUUCUAUAUAGUAAAUCUUUCGUAUUUCUUUUUCAUUAACAUAUAGUGUUUCGUAUUUCUAUAUAUUAGUGAAGAAAAAAUACGAAACACUAUAUAUUAAUGCGUUGUUCACGACAGCAAGGCUUCAUUAAUAUUAAUGAUCAUUCGACAGUAGUGUUUCAUAUUAAUAUAUAGUGUUUUGUAUAUAUAGUGUUUCGAAUAUAUAGUGAAAACCUAUAGUGAAAAAGCACUAUAUAUGUUCCGUAUUUCUAUUUCGUAUUUUUUCUUCAUUAAUAUAUAAUGUUUCGUAUUUCUAUAUAUUAAAACUUUCGUAUUUCUAUAAUAUUAGUGAAGAAGACAUACGAAACACUAUAUAUUAAUGCGUUGUUCAUUUUUAACAAUUAAGUGUUAAUGGCCUAGUGGUUAUGUAGUUAGUAUAGAAGUGGUUGGUCAAAGGUUCGAGCCUUGCUGUUGUGAAUAUUUUUAAUUACUAUCUAAGCUACCAAAACGACGUCGUUUUACCACAUGGAAUCCAGUUAACAGUGUUACGCAUAACACGUUUUUGCAUUAUUCAGCACGAAAUGAAAUCUGCAGGUACUAAAUUCAAAUUUACAUAAGCUCAGGUAUGAUAUAGCACAACGACAAGUCAACUGUAUGAAAUUAACAUACAUAAAUAGUUGAGGUACGAAAAAUCCCAUUUUCCUAGCGCAGACCAUUCAAAGUCACUAUAUACAGUAAAACCUCUAUAAAUUAAUACUCGAUAAAUUAAUAAUCUCUAUAAAUUGAUAAAUUUCUCCGUACUUGGGACCAGUGUAAUUUUAGACACAUUUCGAUAUAAUAAGAUAAUAAUUUUUCUGAAAAUCCUUUGUAAAUAUAUGGUCCCAUCAAUAUUAUAAAUUAAUAAUUAGGUAAAAUUUUCAAAGUAUAUAUAUAUAUAUAUAGACACAUUAUUUUUUGUUAGAGUUUAUUUAUAGUAUUUUACUAUAUAAAAAUUGUUAGAAUUUUCUUUCAAGACAUAAUAAUAAUUAUUUUCUUUGUUAAUGAUUAUAUAAAAUACUUAUUAUCAUGAUUAAAUUUUAUUUUAAAAUAUUUUUUUGAAAAAACUUUCCAAAUUAGGAAAAGCUCUCUAUAAUUAUUAAUUUAUCGAUAAAUUAAAACCUCUAUAAAUUAAUAGAUUUUCAUGGUCCCAACAUUAUUAAUUUAUAGAGGUUUUUCUGUAUUCUGCUAAUUCUUUGUGGUAACACUUAUCUAAUAUAUUAAAAGAGUAGUCAGCAGGUUCACGUUCGCUCUAAAAAACAGAUUACCUCUUUACCCUUAAUGAAAAAAAAAUUUCGUCUCCAAAAAGCCGACUUUUAUGUUUAAGAUCGAAAACUUUUUAAGCCGGCUUUGUUGGUUUAAACCGAUUUUUUAAAAUUUUGCAGUUUUCGAUUUUAAACCAAACGUAAAAAAAUCUGUCGAAAAUACAACUCCUUACUUCAAACCCUACCGUUUGUAUUCAGCCUCCAUAAUUCCCAUAGAGAGAAAAACGAUUAGCUUAGCUUCUAUCAUAAUUAAAAAAUAUAUAUUUUAAUACUAUUCUUUGUGUUUCAUGUUAUUCAUCAUCAUAUAAUUUUCUUCAAUGUUUGUGUAGUGCUUAUUUAGAAAGCAAUAUAAACAAUUCCUACAUCUUUGUCUAACCUUACUUCACCUUUUGAAUCAGUUAUAUUCUCUAAGUUUAUUUGUUUUAUUUUGGGAAUUUAAUGAAAAAACCCCUCAACAUUGGUGAGAUCAAUUUUUAAACCCUCAACUAUUUUUUUAGUAAAUAAAAUCCUGAACUAAAAACAUUAACAAAUUUAACCCUCCACCUAUAAAAAACCUAAACACCCAUAAUAAUCUCUUCUACGCAAUCAACGUUUGUUUAACUGAAACAAAAAAAGACUAAGCAUUAGUUUUUAAAUACAAAAAUUAACAACAAACCUUCUCUUACGAACCUUUGUUUUCCAUAAACGUUCACACGUCGAUAAUAGAUCGCCAAAAAAACUCUCAAAUCGUGACAUCCUAAAACCUCAAAAUUCCAAAUGUUGAACGGUUAGUGAAAAAGAAACUAAAGUAGGUUGAAUAGGCGAUUGACACAGAGUUAAUCGAGGGUGAGACGCAUAAUUAAAUUUAUUGAUGGAUGACAUUAACUCAUCGAGUCUCCAUUAUAGAGUGAGGUAUUGAGAGAACAUAUGUCUAUUUCAUCUGGUUUACAUUUAUUAUACAACGGUCACCUUUCCUAAUUUCAACAUUUUUAACCUUGUUAAUUUAUAAAAGAAAAUUUAGCGAAAAAGAUAAAUUUUAAAACGGUUGUCAGUUAUACUAUUAAUUAGAAAAAUCCUAAAACUGUUUUAUUGACAUAUUCUUGAGGAGUUAGUUUACUAAUUGUUUUAUGGAAAAAAAAAAUUGUAAAUUAUCAACUUUUAAUAAUGAAAGAAAAUAUUGUGGUUUUGUAGACUUAUUUUGCAUAUUUUAUACCAGAAUAGAAAUAUCGACACCAGCAGAAAAAAGUUAUACAAAGAGUGACGAAUGGCACAGAGUUAUCAGCGUACCGGGUUUGCUGAUAUUGAUUAUUUGUAAGUUUUUAUUUAAUCUCUUUAUUUAAUUCGAUAUAUUAUUUGAUAUUUGUAAUUUUUAAUUUAUAUAAAUAUUCAAGUUUUUGUAAAGUAUAAUAAAAGAUUAAUUAUUAUAAUUUUAUUUUACCAAAAUCAUAGAAAAACAGGAUCCAAAGAAGCAGUUUUUGAGAAACUAAAUAUAAAAAGAGUAAGAGCAACAAAAGAGGUUUGGUACCUUGUGGAAAUUAAACACCAAAUCUAACUCUGUGUUUAAAAAGGCGACGCGCCUAGGCUCGAGGCGAGGUAUGGCUGGGGGUAAGCGCCUCAAACAGCUGAGGCAGGCUAUGACCCAAAGGCUCUCUCUCUGGUGCGCCUUGACGUCUGAUGCGCCUUGCCUUGCUCUGCGCGUGCAAAUAUAAAAGGUAAAUUGCACUCUUCCACGAUAUUUUCUUACUCUAUCUAAACUCAAUAUUCUGUUAUACAAAAUAUUUCCAAAAUUAUUCUUAUUAUAAUUAAGAGAAAUUGAUACCAAUAACCUUUUUAUGAUACCCUCUUUUAAAAAUACCAUCUUUUUUUACCAUUUUCAUUUUUGCCCUCUCUUAAUUUUUAAUGGCUAUUUUACCCCUAUUUGAAAUAAUAUUCUUUCACAAAUGAAGGAAUAUUCCUUCCAAAAAUUUCCCCCCAAAAAUUUCCCGCCAAAAUUUUCCCGCCAAAAAAGUUUCCGAGAAAAAAUUUUCCCGCCAAAAAAUUUCCGCAAAAAUUUUCCCGCAAAAAAAAAAUAUUUUUUCAAAAUUUUCCCGCCAAAUUUUUUUAAAGGGUUUACAAGAUUUUUUAAAGGGUCUUUUAAAGGGUUUACAAGGGUUUUUAAAGGGAUAAACAAGAGUUUUUAAAUGGUUUUUAAAAGAUUUGUAAUGGUUUUUAAAGAGUUUGAGAAGCCUACAAAGGUUUUUAAAUGGUUUUUAAAUGAUUUACAAUGGUUUUUAAAAGUUUUAUAAGUUUAUAACAGUUUUAAAAGGAUUUACAAGAAUUUUUAAAGGAUUUUAAAAAUUUACAAGGAUUUUUAAAGGUUUUCUAAAAGGAUUUACAAGUGUUUUUAAAAGGAUUUAAAAGUAUAUUUAAAGGCAUACAAAGAUUUAAAAAUAGUUUUAAAGGAUUUACAAGAAGUUUUAAAGGGUUUUAGAAGUUUACAAAGGUUUUUGAAGGGUUUAAAAAAGUUUUUAAAGGUAUUACAAGUUCUUUAAAAUGGGUUUUAAGGAUUUACAAGGGUUUUUAACGGGUUUUAGAAGUUUACUAAAGUUUUUUUUAAAUGAUUUAUCAUGGUUAUAAGUGGUUUAAAGGGAUUUACAAGUGUUUAUAAAUGUUAUAAAAUGAUUUACAAUGGUUUUAAAAGGUUUACUCAAGUUUUGAAAGGUUUUGGAUGACUUUUAAAAGAUUUACAAGGGUUUUUACAGGAUUUUUUAAGAGAUUUAUAAAUAUUUACAAGGUUUUUUUAAGAAAUUGCGGAAAAAUUUUGGCGGGAAAAUUUUUUUGGCGGGAAAAUUUUUUGUCGGAAUUUUUUGGCGGGAAAAUUUGGCGGGAAAUUUUUCGGAAGGAAUAUUCUUUUUGUUGGAAAGAAUAUUCCUUUUUUCAUCAUAGGUUAUAAUAAACGAGGGUAAUUUAGUCAUUUUGUACAUUGAAGAGGGUAUUUUUGAAAAUGAACACCUAGAGAGGGUACUUGUAGAAAAGGGUAUCAUAAUAAAGGUUAGUUGUGCAAAUCUCUCUAUAAUUAAUUGUUUAAAAACCUAAAAAAUGAAGUAUAAACGUCUCUUCAGCCUCUUAGUCUCACGAUUCUUCUCUGUUACUCCUCUAGUCUACCUAUUCUCCUUUCAUCAUCUCAUCUCAUCAUGUCUGAUUUAGUUUCCACUAAGGAACUUGAUCCAGCUAGAAAACAUGCAACUCCUGUUGUUGGUAAGCAUGGUAGUUGGAUGUGUAACUACUGCAAAAAAGUAACAAGCGGUGGAGUACAGCGAGCUAAGCAGCAUAUUGUUGGUGGUUAUAGAAAUGUUACUGCAUGUACUAUUUUUUCAGAACAUGUGAGGGAGGAAGUCAGAGAUUUCAUGCAAAAAUAACUUGAAGCUAAAGUCACAACCCAAAUGAUGCCACCACCAGUCAGUGUAUGAUGAGAUUGAGGAAGAAGAAGAUGAAGGGCAGCCUAUUCAGCCACCUUCAAAAAAACGAAAGGGUCCAAUGGACAGGUAUGUUUGUCCAACUCCUCGUGAUAUCUUGAAAGGAAGACAAGAUAGGAAGGAAGUUUAUGGGAAAUCUGAUAAGGAACUUAGGGAUAGAGCAUGUGCAGAGAUUGCUAGGUGGUUUUAUGAUGCAAGCCUACAGUUUAAUGCGGUUACCUUUGAUAGUUUCAAGAAUUUUCUAGAGUUAGUUGGUCAAUAUGGUUCUGGCUUUAAGCCACCAACAAUGUAUGAGCUGCGGGUUCCUUUUCUGAAGAAGGAAGUAAAAGAGACUGAGAAACUGCUGGUCGAGCACAAAACUGAAUGGACAACUAAAGGUUGUUCAAUCAUGUCAGAUGGAUGGCGUGAUUCAGUUGUGCAAAAGGAUAUUAUUAAUUUCCUUGUUAAUUCGCCAAGGGGUUCAGUUUUCAUCAAAUCAGUUGAUGUUUCAACUGUCGUGAAAGAUGCCAAUUUCUUGUUUGAUCAGCUUGAUUGUAUGGUUGAAGAAGUUGGAGAAUCUAAUGUUGUCCAAGUGAUAACUGACAAUGCAUCAAACUACAUAAAAGCUGGUGAGUUUGUUAUAUUUUUUUGGACAAACUUUAAAAUUUCAUUGAAAGAAAAGGUUUAGCCUCCACCAACAGAGGAUACAACAAAGCUACAAAGAGCCCAAACAACCAAAACAACGACCAACAAGGAGAUCGGGUAGGAUGGUAAGUUCAAAUCAACAACAUUGCUCAUAAAGACACUUAUAGAUAAGGGUGAAUCACCGAAAGGAAACAGCGUCUCCUGAGUCAAACAGUCAACAAAAGUUGAACGGUAACCGUCUUGGACAACAAUCCUCGCUUCUGCAAGCAGAACAAUCUUGACAACCAUGCUCCCUAUAACAAUACCACUACACACAAGUGAAGUAUUUGGGAGGAUAAUAAGCUUCUGAAAGGAGAGAUGAGGACUAUAAAAGCCCCGGUGAACCAGAAAAUCUGGAACAAAGAAAGAGAGCAAAGAUCUCUUUUUAAACUGCCAUAAAACGGAUCCUAACAGAGCCACUUCAAGGUAGAGCCUGCAUAUUGCAGUAAAGGUUCGCACUAAGGCGAUAAGAGUGCCACAUGAGAGCACAAAUGUGGAUACAAUGGUAUCCAAAACCAUCAACGAUGUAGAAACUAAAUCCGAAUUCCACAAAACCAGAGCUACACUCUUACCAACCAUCCAGAAACUUCCAAAGGUAGAAGAAACAGGAAGCGAAGAAGAGGAGCAUACCUGGGGGAAUGGGAGAAGAGAUGUGUUGAUUGAGAAUGUCGAGCAAUCAACACUUCUGACAACCAGGCUGAGAAGACGGCGUCGCUUGAUGAGGUGAGGUGGCUGGUGGCAAGGCGUAUCAAGAGAUGGAGUUGUACAGCCCACAACCCAAUAAGAAAGUCUUACUCUUCUGGCCCAAUAAACCAUCAAUCAAAGUUUGGCCCAAUAAGCAUUUUCUCCAAUUGUGGCCCAACAAAGAAACUAGGGUUUCAGUGGUUGAGGAUGGUGGGAUGAGAAGCCAGCUAUGACGGCGGCUUAAACGAAGAGCGGCUAUGAACUAUGGACUCGAAUUCUGGCAAGGAAUAUCAGAUCUCGAGGGCGACAGAGAUAGGGGCAUGGAGCUGUGAAUUCGUCGAAGGCUGAUGGUGAGUUGCAGUGCAUGAGAUUCGUCCAAAGAGGAGUGGAUCUAAGGAUCUGGCGGGUCUGGUGGUUCAGGGGGAGGUUGUGGUGUCGAAGACUCAGGCGGUGGUGGAGGUGGUGCUGGAGGAGAUCUCAAACCAUGGAAAGGAACCGAAGACAACGGUAAACAACAAGAGAAGCUCGAAAACGGUGGAGAGAAGGGACUCAUAUCAAGAAGGAAACUCGCUGGACACCGCCACGUAACCGAAACAGAGGUCCACUUGAGAGAAUAACCCUUAGACAGAAUUGCAGAGUCAGAAAAAGAGAUCGAUGGUGGAAGAACGCCAGUGAAAAGAGCUCAUCUCGUCAAUCUUCAAGUCUUCUUGGUCUUCGUGCCUGGGAGAGUUCUUCAACGCGCGAAUGUAACAAUUGAGUUUGUUAAAUAUUUAGCUUUAUAAGGUUUUUUUUUGCUUCUUCUAAUUUGUGCAUAAUCUUAAACUGAUUUGUGUUUUCUAAUUCUUGUAGGCAAAUUACUAAUGGCGAAACGACCAUAUCUGUAUUGGCUUCCUUGUGCUGCCCACUGCAUAGAUCUCAUGUUGGAGGAUAUAGGAAAGAUUUCGUCGGUGAAGGCUGCAAUCACGAACUGCAUCUUCAUGAAUGGCUACAUCUACAGCCACACUUCUAUGGUGAAUAUGAUGCGGAAGUUCACAAACCAAGGAAACUUACAUAGACCAGCAGCAGUUACUCGGUUUGCUACAUCUUUCAUCACACUCUCGCAAUAUCACCGGCAGAGGAAGAACUUGAGGAGUUUUGUAACUUCUCAGGAAUGGAAUGAUUCCAAAUGGCCAAAGGACAUAGGAGCAAGGAACGUGAAAAAGUUCAUUAUGCAAGACAGGUUGUGGCAUCACGUGUUGUAUGCACUCAAGUUGACGGGACUUCUAGUUAAGGUGCUUCGGUUGGUCGACGGUGAGAAAAAACCAGCUAUGGGGUACAUCUAUGAAGCAACGGAUAGGGCUAGAUUCUAGCUCACAGACAUUGCUGAAGAAAUGGUCCAAAAUCUCCACAAACAAAUGGAUACUCUCCAGGUAAGCCAACUCAUUAUUGGUUAUAUCCACGCACACGGAGAAAAACAAUCCAGCAUAACGCUUGUAUAUCACCUUGUGUGUUCUAAAAUGAAAAUAAUUGCAGAACAGUUUUCUCCUUCUAGCUCACAGAACAAUAUUGGUUUCUUAAUCACAUUUUCAUGUCUCAUAAGACACAUAUCUACUUCUCUAUACAGAUAUUGAAUGAGUUGGGUUACUUCUACCUCAGCUUAUAACAACAUCUCAAACAACAACUAAUACCUCAACCAGAGAAACUUCGCAGAUUCGAAUUCGACAGAGCAAUGCUCCUAUAAUGUGCUAGUAUCAACAGCCCAUCUCAAACAACAACUAAUACCUCAACCAGAGAAACUUCGCAGAUUCGAAUUCGACAGAGCAAUGCUCCUAUACUGUGCUAGUAUCAACAGCCCUAAAUCUCAUAUACAAAACCUGAAUUAAGAAUCAUAUGCAUUCCUACAAUCUUGGUUCUUACUCACAUAAUUUUCAUGUCUCAUUAAGGUUUUUUCAAGUUCUCUAUAAAGAUCUUAAUACUAGAAAACUCAGCUCCAAUGCCUCAAUUGAAAAAAAAAAUUCAUAAUAUCUACAAAAGCAAUGAUUUUUUCAAGCAAAUCUACCAUAUAGUCUCUGGAGAACCCUAAUCUUUUAUGUUUAAGAUUGAAAACUUUUAAACCAAAAUCGGCUUGGUUGGGUUAAACCGAUCUUUCUAGAAUUUUAAGUUUUCGAUUUUGAACCAAACGUACGUAAAAAAGUCCGUCGAAAAUACAACUUCUUACUUGAAAUCCUACCGUUUGUGUUCAGCCUCCAUAACUCCAUAGAGAGAAAAACGAUUAGCUUAGCUUCUAUCAUGAUUAAAAAUUUAUAUUUGAAUACUAAUCUUUGUGUUCAUGUUAUUCAUCAUCGUAUAAUUUUUCUAUCAUGUUCGUGUAGUGCUUAUUUAGAAAGCAAGAUAAACAAUUCCUACAGCUUUGUCUAACCUUAUUUCACCUUUUGAAUCAGUUAUAUUCUCUAAGUUUAUUUGUUUUAUUUUCAUUGGAAUAACUUUCUAAGUAUUACGUUUGCUAAUUAUUGAACAUGAUCUUAUAAAAGUCGUUACGUUGGGCUUGGAAAACAUGAAAAUAUCCUGUAAACUUAAAAUAUCAUGUGGCGCCAAUAAAUAAUUAUAUAAGUACUGUAUGUAGCUUGGAAAACAUCAACAACUCACAUUGAAUAACACAAAUCAGUAUGAAAGAGUUCGAUGUUAGGUCCGAUUUGUUUUCAACAUAUUUAAACUUUUCAAAUUUUGUAUGUUAUAACUUUUUCCAAAAUUUGUAUGUUAUUACUUUUCAAAAUCAAAAUAACUUUACUUAAAUUAUAAAAAACCUUAAACCUAAGCGUUAAAUUUUUUACAAUACGUGAUAACAUGUUUAACUUACACACCACUGACGGACCACAAAGGGACUGGAUGCUCGGCCCGAUUUGUUUUCAAAGUAUUAAAAUUUAACACUUAGAUUCAACCAAAAAAAAAUCAUAUUUAGUUAUUAAAAAUUAAAACUAUUUUUACUUGAAAUUUGAUUUAAAAAACCUUGAUAUUUAGUUGUAAAUCAGGAAAAUAGAAAUGAAAGAAACAUAAAAUCUUUUUUUUUAUGUAUCUUUUUAUAUCGAAAUCAAGUUUUCUUAAUUUAUUUAUUUAUAAAAAAGUUAGAAAAGUUGAGAUAUUACCUGUGAUAUUUAAGAAUCCUGAAGGCUACAGCGACUCAGACGGUGGUCGUUUCUGAAUUUUGCUAAACGUAAUACAAAAACAAACCCAUCAGCGCAUUUCAUAAUCGUCAAAAAAUCAAAUUACUUUGAUAAAACUAAAGACAACUAUCACGAACCUGCUAAUAUAAUACCUCUGUUCCUCUCUUCAAUAUAUAUAUAAAUCCUCUUAUAAAUAUUCUCCUAGUCUCUAAUGACUGAAGAAAACAGAGGAUCGAUGGAGAUCACCAUAGAACCUUGACUCUCCACCCUGAAACUAAAACAUAAUCAAGUACAAAUCUUCAUUAUCAAAGACUACUGAAUACACAAAAGCAUAACACUCAGUACAAAACAAAGAGAUGAAUAAUAUAUAUGAUACGUGAAUCACAUGUAUGAUGAUGAACUAAAAAGUACACAAAAUGGCUUGCAUCUGCAUCAAUCCAAAAUCGUAUAUGCAUAUACACACACCUAUGAGAUUCAGUUCUUGUAAGUUGCAGACAGGUAAUAAUAAUUCUAUAUGUGGUCGAGAAGCAAUAUGAGCUCAGUAGUAAUAAAAUAAAACAAUGCCAAUGGAAACUCGCAAAUCAAAUCAG
rnacentral:lncRNA from 1 species